UUUUUUUUUGUCAGGAAUAAGGAUAAGAUUUUUUUUUAUAUUUAGAGUUUAUUUUUUCUUAAAAAUAUUUAGAGAUCAGGCGAAAGGUUAGUGUGGAGCAACUCCAAGAGGCUGCUAAUCUUACCCCCAAUACCUUUUUUAGGGAAAAAAGGAGAAAAAACGAACUCCAACAGUCCACCCAAACCUUCCCCAACUUUUUAGCAACGCUAAAAAACAGCCUACCACCGCGUAUAUUUUAGCGUUAGCAUUCCUCCCCCAAUCCUGAUUCCCGCACGCUCGCGCGUCCCUUCCAAUGGACCCAAUACGAUGACGUGGCCUGUUUUAAAAUAUUAGGGACUAUUUAUUAGCGAUCUGCUGUGGAUUGAUUUGUUUUUGGAGGAAAUUUUUUUUGGAAGAAUUCCCAAUACAUAAUUUUGGGAAAGAAUUUUUUAGCGUACUCUUAGAGUUGCUCUAUGGCAUAGAACAAAUCACCAGCUCCAUCAUAAAAAAAUUGCCCUCGCUGUCAAAGAAUUGUAUAGGGCCAGAGAUCGUGCUCUGCAUAUCUAUAGUCUAGGGAAGGCUCUGGACAUAGAAUUGUUUAGGAUCUGACGGCAGCAACGAAGAAAGAUUUAGCUAAUCUUUCACCUUGUACUUGUGGUACCCGUCGGCAGCUAUAUCGCCAUUGCUUUUGUCUGGCAUUCUCCCUGUUAUAGAGAUGAAAACAUGGUUAGCUUAAAUUAAUGAAAUAAAAAAUGAAUCGUUGCCAUUAGGCCAUUUCCAGUGCAAUCCAAGAGUGUCACGUCUCACGUCAUUUAAAGAUAUUUGAAACGAUGAAUGAAACAAUGUCAUGGUUUCAUAGGUUAGCCAUAACAUUUAAUUAUGAAGCACGGGAUUGGAUGCAGUCGAAUGAAAUGAAACUCUUCCAAUUGCAAAAAAUCUGAUGCGCGAACCUGCGUGAGUGAAGGUAUCCCAGAUGCUUGGGCUCCUACCAUCCUCCGCAACGGCAUAGAGAUCAUCAAAAGGAGAAAACUAUGGGCCUGUUUGGUUCCAGGAGGAGUCUAGCCUGGCUCGCACCAGCCAACCUGGUUCCCCAAAGCCAGGCCCAUUGCAUGCAGGAGCAUGGUGUUUGGUUGCCUGCUCGCACAGAUCAGGCUCUCCCGAGAAGUUGUUUGGUUGCUCGGACGAGGACGGGUUGCAUGAGAUGACAAUAUAUAAAUAAUUAUCGUAAUGGCAUUUAUUAUGGGAAAACUAUUAUUUUAUAGUUCUUAGUUUAUCUUAUUACUCCUUAAUAUUAAUUGAAAUAUGUUAAUAUCAUUUAACAUGUGCUAAUAAUGUAUUAAUAACAUCAUUAGAUGGCUAAUGGCAGAAAUGGCCGAUUUCCUCACACCGGCAGAGUUGGCUGCGGAGGGAAUCUUGCACACGCGGAGCCUGACCGAGCGGAUAUGCAAACUAAACAAACAGACAGUGAAUCUUGCAGCCUGGCUAAGGUCUGCUGCAAGUAACCAAACGCCCCCCUGUAUGUAUCAAGAUGAUCAACGAUUCGCGGACACACCAAGUUAACCGGCUUCGAGUAGAGCACACAAGGAAACCCCAUGAAUCCAAUCCAUGCACGGGAGUAUUGAUUGAAUCAUCCGUUACCUGAUAAGCCGAGGUAGCGGAUCCGAAGACGAAAUCUUCAGGGAAGUCACCCUCGUGAACCCAAGAACGGGAGCCGCGCCGGGGGCCGAGAGGGGCAGCAGGAGGGAGAUUGCGGCAACUGCGGCAGCCAUGUCUUUCGUAAAGGCUCUGCGGUCUGCAGAGAGAGGACCGGACACGGAGUCAACGAUUCGAAUUCGAGGUGCCCUGCUUCCCACUUCCCAGCAGAUAAUGCAAAACACUUCGACCGGUGUCAAUGGCAUUGGCAGCAGGCCCAGCAGCCUCCGAAGGCCACGUCAGUGUCAAUCUCGAGUUUUAUAUCCCGAAAUGGUAUGACCACUAGAAUUCCGCAUGCCCCGUCGGGACGGAGAUCCGGUGCAGCGCGAUCUGAGCCGUCCGUUUUCAACGGUGGACGGAGACGGGCGAUGCUACAGCCGACUGCUACAGUACUCCAUCCUUUUCUGCUCCGACUGCUACAGUAGCACUGCUUAAUGCCCCGUUUGAAUUAGAUUGUGGAUUUUAAAAAAUUGGAUUUUGGAUAGAUUUCCAAAAUCUGGAUUCUAGGCAUUACUAUGCUGUUUUUUUCUCUAAUAUUGCUACAUUUUUAAGGACAAUUAAUGUUAUUGGUUAACCACUAGUUGUCCAUAGCAUAGAAGGGGUGAUGAUUUUCCAAAGGAAAAAAAGAUAUACCUUAAUCUCAUCAUGUGUUUGGCUAUCGUGCUACGGAGGUCUUAUAGUUGCCACCUCUAAGUAAAUCGUCGUAAUGGAGAUAGUUGCAGAUAGAGAUGAUAGCGGGGCUGUAAUUUAUGAUGUUACGAGGGAUCGGAGGUAGGGAAGCAUCGACGAGGGAGGUAUAGGAGGCUGAAAAGAAAGAGAUCGUGUGUGGUUCAAAUAAUAGAUACAUAAAUAUUUGACCACAAGAAACGUAAUCGAAUUGAGGCAGUUCGCUAGGAGGUUUCUAUUAAUUAGCCGUGCACAUCAACCAUUAGUUGCAUGUGGUAGUUGUCUAGUUGGUGGCGGAUUUUACAAACGUGUCACGACAUGUGGAAAUGAAGGCAUACACUUCGUCACUUUAUGCACCAUUUUGGUGCAAAUAAAACGAAUUCUUAGAUAAGGCUGAAGUAGGAGUUAUCUACAAUAUUAGCAAGCUAAAGGGAUGUCAUACAAAUUGACCAUUUCACUUCCAUAAUGCAGCCCGAGUUUUGGGAUAAUUGUUCAUUGUUUGAGACAGAACUUAGUUCAGCAAGCUACAUGUUCAAAAUAAUGAGAACAAUGAGAAGUGUCCAAACUUAAAUAUGUAGGCAGGAGGUAACCAUCCAAAUUCUUAAUUGGUGCAUGGAAAGGUCAUUCCCCGUCAUCUGAAACGGAUGAGAUAAGGAAAAAUUCAUUUUCGACUAGCAAAAUUUAAAACACUAAUUUUUACUCCAUCCAUUCUAAAAUAUAAGUGUUUUUAGUUUUACCUUAAAUCAGAUUUCUCAAAAUUUGAUAAAAUUUAUAAGAGUACACUAACAUUUAAAUAUCAAAUUGGUCCGCUAAACCUACCAUGAAUAUAUAUGGUUUGAUAAUAUAUUAUUCAUGAUUUUCUUUAUGAAUUUAAUUAAAGUUAAAAAGAAUUUGAGUUGCGAUAAAAAAACGAUCUACAUUACAAAACGAAAGGAGCAGUACUUUAUUAAAUGAGAGAAACAGCCGACAUGUACAGCUUGCUGAUCAUGAUCCCAGAGGAAACAGACAAAUGGUCGCAUUUGACCGUUAUGCUUACGGCAUCGCACGGAGUGUACUUUGCUUGCCGUCGUUUCUCGCAGGAAAUCAAUUUGACGCCACGACGCCGUUAAAACCUUUUUCCGCGUAAAAAAAAGGGCCCGGACCCGUGGGCUUCCAGCCACUAAUCCCCAAAGCCAAAUUUCUCGCUUCGCCUUCCCUUCCUCCCAUCUCUCUCGAGGCUCGCCGUCGCCGCCCUUCCCAUUCGUCUCCUCCUCCUCCUCUUCUCCACCUCCGCAAAACCCUAGCCGCCGACCCGUCCAAUCCCCCCACCAGCGCCCAAAAUCGCGGCCCCAACGAGCUAGGGCUCGCCAAUCUCUGGCCGGGCCCGUUGAAAUUUCCGGUCGGCCUUUCUCGGGUGAAUCCUUCAGUUUUUUUUUCCGGGGGGAUUGUUUGAUUUCCGCGGCGCACGAUGGGGAGCCGGAGGGAGGAGGAGAGGAACGAGAAGAUCAUCCGCGGCCUCAUGAAGCUGCCGCCCAACCGCAAGUGCAUCAAUUGCAACAGUGCGGUAACCCCUCUCGCCCGUUUGCUUCGUUGCUAAGCUGAUUUGAGCAUCUGUUCUGUUCUGCUUCGCGGAUCGCUGCCAGGGAGGCGGCGGAAUUCGUCCAUCGAUUGGAAUGUUAGGCAGUUAGCUCAGAUUUGCGAAAAUUUUAUCGAGUCUAUUCUGAACUUUGGCUUCAAGCUGUACCUGUUGGUUAAAUGAUAAUAACUUGGUCCUUUGUUUUCUAUAUCUGAUUAUAGAGAAUUCAUUGCUCUUACUUUUUUAUCACAUGAGAGGUAUAUGGACCCUAGGUUACUUCAGAUUGGGAAACUCGUAAAUGUUGCUGCCAUUUUGUGACGCACAAUUGCUGAAUUGGGUUGUUAAUAGAUAGUUGUUUGAUCUAUUUAGACCUCCUUAACUUUCAUCAACUUUGCUGUCGGUAUUUGAGGAUUAAGUUGCUUAAUUUACAGUAUUGCUGAACUUUCAGUAUUCACAUGUGUAAGGGUGACUUGUGUUGCCUUUUAUCAGUUUAAUAAUGUAGCACAACAGUAGAUUAACUUGUGUUGCUUUCUUUCAUUGAAUAACUUUUGUUGAAUACCUACUUUUGCGGUGCAGCAUAAAAGAUCAGGGACACAUUCUGUCCCAGCUACCUGUCCAAUUUAAUAUCAUUCUCUUGACUUAACUCAAAUCAAUUUUGUUUUUUUACAGGGGCCACAAUAUGUAUGUACCAAUUUCUGGACCUUCAUUUGCCUGUCAUGUAGUGGAAUUCAGUGAGUAUCUUUUCCCUGCCAAUUUUCAGCAGCUCGUCCUUCCUUUUAUCCUGCAACUCUCUUAUUAGUUCUAUUCGGUAUUGACUUUUGAUAGAAAAUGUAUGUUGUGGUAGUUGAUGCUUCUAACAAGGCAUACAAUAAGAAUGUGCCUCAGAUGAAUUAACAAAAAUGGUAUUGUCUGCUGUCCAUAUAUUAUUGCAAAUCUACAUUUAAGGGUCCACUUUGUCGUAGUCCUAAUAGAACUUUCUGUCUUCCAUUCUAUGACUCUUCUCUUUGGAUAUUUUGCUUGCACAUGCAAUAGUUUGGCUUAGAGAAACAGAUAACCAAAUCCUGCUAUUUCAAGCUAGUUUACUACGCUUUUAGCUUUUAGGUCCGCUGUCUUUUCUUGACAUUAACUCCUUGACGUCUUGUGUGGGAUAUGCAGCCGUGAGUUCACUCACCGUGUUAAGUCGGUGUCAAUGUCCAAAUUUACUACCCAAGAAGUGCGGGCUCUUGAACAGGGGGGUAACCAGGUAACAAAAGCACCCACAACUAGUCUAUGAUGUUACCUCUAGGGCACCCUGUUCAGCUUUUAUGACUUAAAUUGAGGUAAUGACUGCAGCAAGCUCGCGACAUCUACCUAAAGGACUGGGACUGGCAACGAAUGAGGUUGCCUGUCAAUACGUGAGUUUCGUUUCAUUCUCUAGUUUUUAUGGGUACUUAUUUUUUUUUGGUUCUCCGAAUAAUGUUAUAUGUGUUAUUGCCUCUGUAGCAAUCCUGAUAGGAUAAGGGAAUUUAUCCGGGCUGUUUAUGUGGACAAGAAGUAUGCUGGUGGGUCCUCUAACAAACCAGCCACAGAUAGUGAGGUAAUGAGCUAACGUGUCUUGUGGGCACCGUUGUAUUGUCCUUUAUCUAAGUGUAGUGAGAAACUGAAAAAAGUUAUGAAUAUAUAUAUUAAUAGUUGCAUUAUCUUUGUCUAACCUGUGAACGACCAUAGUCCAUAUUGCUGUUCCAGCUAAUUCCAAUCACCAGUCCAGAUAUUCCUGCUGAAACUUCCAUAUGUCAGUUUUAACUGUAGUUUCCAUUUUUGGCAGAGUGUGAAAAGCAAUGAAAAUGAAAUGAGGAGACCUAGUUCCUAUCAUUCAUACUCCCAAAGUCCACCUUAUGAUUUUCAGUAUGAAGAUAGAAGAUAUGGCAAGCAAGUUGACACGCUUGCUCGCAGGCCUUCAGAUAGGGCACUCUUCGACGGGAAGCUUGGCAACUUCUUAUUCAGUCCAGGUCGUUUGCGAGAUCAGACGAAUGAAGACCAAUUUGCUAAUGAAAGUUCAGGGUCAAGGUUUUCCGACUUUUCAGCCUCAAGCACUGGUGACUUUAGAAAUGAUGUCCUUUCUCCUAGCUCUCAAGAGACAGGGUACAGUAGUCCUUCUGUCCAUCAUUCAAGAAACAUCUCUGCUGAAAAUCCUCAAUCCCAGAAACAUCCUAAUGUAACUUCACAAAUAGAUUUCAAUGGAAUUCGACGCUCACAGGUUUUUGACUCUUAUGUUCCCCUCCCGUUCCAGUAAAUGCAUUUUUGACGUAGAAACUCCUCCAGGUACAGAGGAUUAGAUAUAAUUUGUUUAUUCUUUACAUGUGCAGCGAACAGGUUCUUCUGGAAGUUUUGGAUCAUUCGAUGGUAGCUCAGUGUCUAACAAAUCAGUUGAAUCAGGUUACCCGCCUGAUGCACCAACAGAAAAGUCAGUGCAUUCUGCAGUAAACCAUCAGACCGUGGCUUCUCCUGUGGCAAAUUCAACACAACUAUAUGCCUUGCCACCCAACAAUCACAACUUGAUACCUCAGAAACCUGCUGAUUUUGGUAGCCAAACCACUGCCAGUAGGAAACCUGUGCAACAUGGUAGGGCUCAGACUGAAGCUGCGGUGCCGCCACCUGUCCCAGCACAACCAACAACUUUCACACCUCUUGACCUCUUUGAUCAAUCAACUGUGCAACCACCUGUCACUUCUGAUGCACCGAUAGAUCUGUUUGCUGGCUUUAAUGAACAGUCAUCAGCUUCUCAUAAAACAGUUAAUUUAGGCAGUCAUUUUGAUGUCGCCAAAGAACCUGCCCAUAAUGGUGUCGUUCAGAAGACAGUGGUACCAUCAGCUGAAGCGCUCACCACAUCUCAUCCUGUUCCCCAAGAUUUCUUUAGUCUAUCAAUUUUGCAGGAACCAGCAACUUCCUCACCCCCUCCACCGAUUGACCUGUUUGCUGGCUUUGACCAAGAACUGCCACAGUUAUCUAGUGUUCAGCAAAUUCCAUCAGCAGCUACAUUGCCUGCUAACGGUGGAUGGGCUUUCUUUGGUGCACAGCAUGGAUCUUUAACAUCUGUUUCAAAUGUGCAAGCUCAGAAGCCCGCUGCAUUCCCUCUAUCUGAUGGUAUUGCUAAAGGAAUUGAUCAAUCAACAUUGCCAACUUCACCACCAAAUACCAUUGGGUCACAAAGUACUCCGUCUGUGAUGGAUAACUGGAGUUUAAAUGCUGAAGAAGUGAAGAUCUCUGUCCCCAAAGAAAAUUCUCAGGUAAAAUCAUUUGGCAUAUGAGGCACUUAGCGCUUUGUUAUAGCUUCACAUGUUUAGUAACUUUUUCCUUGUUGUUUAUAGUCUUGGAAUGCCUUUGGUGAAUCUAUUCAGAGCCCAUCAAAUAGUCUGUUCACAUUUAACACUAUGUCUCAAGUAGCGCCUCAUCAGUUCACUUCAUCUGGCGCUUCAUAUGCUGAAUCCAGAAUUCCACAGGUACACAAGUUUCAAUUAACGACUUGAAAAGUGCAUUUCUCAAAGAAGGCUAGGCUGAAUAUUCUCAAUUAUUCUUUAGGAUUCAGCUGGGGGUGAGACUGAAAGGCCAACUCCUGGGGACAUGUUUUCUGAUUUCAACGUUUCACCUGUUGAGAUGGCUGGACCAUCGUUUCCUGCACAACUUGAAUCCCAUCUGGUAUGGAGCUUCCUUACUUGCUUGGCAGUAGUUUCAUUUUUAUUGAGAGCAAACAUGCCUGGACAUCUUAAAAUAUUGUGUUUGACAUAUAAUGUGUAUUUUCUUUUGUUUCUUGGGGUAUAUUUUGUGAAUAUUAUCUAUCUUAUCAUAAAAGUUAAGGAAAUAUUAUUAGUAAGAUAAUUUUGUGUUUGGACUAUGCAUUCUGAGGUGCCCCUAUGCAUGCAUGCACCGCCCUUCAUGGGUUCUUGCAUAUAUGCCAUUUAGUUGCUUUGCAUGUCCUCUAUUUUCCUGUAAUCUGCAUUCACCUACAGUAACUAUUUUCCCAUCUUUUAAUGUCGAAAUGGAUCAACUUAUGUCUUUAACGAUUCUUGUGAAUUUUAUUCAGGGCGGUGUGGUGUCUAAUCCUGGAAAAUCAACAAAUCCAUUUGACAUAGCAUUUGAAUCUGAUGUUGACGCCAACGACAUGGUAUCGAUUUUUAUUUUGUGAUUUACAAUUGCACUAAUUAUAACAUGGGCCAGCAAUUCUGUUGCUUAUACUUUUAUUUGUGAGCUCCUUUAUUAUUUGAAACAGCAGUAUUUGUGGCUCAACCAAAUAUAUGUUAAUAUGAUUAGGGGCUUAAAUGAAAACUGUAUGAAAGAGCCAACUUCACUUAGUUGACUUACGAUGCUUCAAAUAGAACUACAGUGUAAGAAUUACAAUUUACAAAUCUGGGUUUUUGGAUGCUCUUACCCAUCCUCCUUCUAAAGCAAGAGUAAGCAAUAUUCAAUCUCUUCAAAAUUUCCAUAGAGGUAAUCUUUCCAGCAAUCCUAAUUAGAAGAAAAUAUGCGUUCCUAAUUUCCUUGACUUUAUGCACAAGUUUGGAAGAAAAGGAAAUUGUUCACAGAUCUUGUGUUCUUUUUGUUUAGUAUGUGAUACUAGCCCAUCCAAGAACCCAGAACUAGUAUUUUUACAUUUUGUUUUUUGUUCUUGACAUGCUAACCAGAGAGCAGCUUUUCCCAUGUUGCUAAAUACUUUUUUUUGGUUUUCCCUUUAUUCCCUGAGUUUUUUGUUCCUCUUUUCAGUUUAUGGACUUGACCUCGCUACAGGAAACAUUACCAGAUCCUCAUACUACCUCAGAUUAUUCUGGGAGCUUAGCACACCCAUGGAUUUCUCAUAAUUCUGCGAUGCCAUAUAUUCCAUCUGGGCCUCAAGGUAUCUGCCCUUUGCACCAAACUAAUCUUCAUGCGCAAGUACACAAACACAGAAACAUGGAAAACUUCGCUGUUAAUGCUAAACAUGAUUCCUUUUUUAAAAUAAUCCAGGAGGGUUAUCCUACGUUGCUGGACAAGACUCUCACAUGUUGUAAGCUCCUUGAAAUCUUACUUACAAUUGGUAAUACACAUCACUUUCUAAAUGAUUACUUGUUACAGGAGCCCGACGAAACAAGGAUCUUUUCCACCUAGGAAUCCAUUUGAGUGAGUGCUAGUAAAGAAUGUGUUUUGCUGAUAGUGGGGGGCAGAAGAGGAAGGCAAUUGACAGCGGUUGAAACUGAAAUGGAUACUCGCGUGUAAUAUACUAGAAGCAUUGAAGCAAAUGUGUGUGGAAUCUGAAAGCAUGAGGUAAAUAUGUCGCUUGGAUUUCAUCGUUUACGCUCUCCUGUACUAUAUCAGAAAGGAAUGCACAGAAAUCUACAUGGCAGGCAUGCUGGAAUUUUUUCCCCCAAGCAACAAGCUGUGUCCUCAAAUUAUCUGGACCGAUGUAUCUCUGGCAGGCAGUGCUGGUCAAACAUCAAAAUUUUCUUUCACCAGUUUGUCAUUUGCCCAUGAGUUGUGUUCAUGUUCUUGUUAAAUUCAUGUCGUGAUUAGAAAAGGAGCGGCAUUUCCAUAAAUGACAGGAUCAUUACCCAUAUUGGUCCUCAAUAUAGUGAAAAGACGAUAGUCCAUCAAAUGAUUGCAUUGCUGCCAGGUGUUGUGUUGUUCAGUAAUAGUUAUUACUUAUUACCUUUGCUUUGUAUGUUGAAGGGGCAUGACUUCUUUCCUCAGCAACAUCUCUAAUCUUAAUAAAGGAACAUGGAGACGUACUCUCCAAGUGACCUAGUUUUCUUUUUUUAAAAAAUAAAGGAGCAUGUGUGCUUGUUCAUUGGAUAACAGAUUUGUUGCAGCGGUUCAGGACUAAGUGUUACUUCGUUUUUGUGAUACAGGUAGUUGCCCUUCAUUUUCGUUCUGUUGUACAAGAGAGAUUUCCAAGCUACUAUGCUACAUGUUCAAAGUUCUUAAUCUGAUUGCUGUGCCGAGCUUAAUAGUAGCUGCAUCCCUACAAAGUUCAGUUUUGUACCUCAACUACUCGAUCAUGUAAUGACUUGAGGUUGAAUUUUGUUGGUUAAGGUUUCGAUUUUUUUUGAAUUAAAUGAGCCGUACAAUAGUAUUUUAAGUUGAAUCACGGGGGGGAAAGAUAAUUUCGAAAGUGAACUCUGCUCGAGUGCUUGUCACACCCAUCUCUACUUCUUUAGUGCCAUGGCAAAGGUCAUAAACCUUUUGGCAAUGUCACAUCAGGUGUGGGCGUGUGGCAAAUGAAUAUGGUCACCUCAUGGCAAAAACCAAAACGAAAUGUCACGAUUAGAGCACUGCAGAGAGCACUGGGGCGCGUUUGGUUAGUUGCAGAUAGCGCAGCCUGGCUCUGGAGAUGCAGGAUGCGAGAGUUUGGUUGGCUCGAUACCUAGCUGAACCUGAACCUGGUUCUCGGCGUGCAAAACGGCCGAGCGAGCCUGGCUCCCCGGAAACGAAAAUGAAAUGCGUUUCUCGGCAGCCUGGCUCGCGCGGGACGCGAGGACGUGCGCGGCAGUUGAGGGCGCAUGCAAUAUUAGAAGAAACCGAACAUCCGAUGUGCUUAUCUUGUACCUGCUCAUUCAUGCAAUCAAUCACCAAAGUCUGGUAUGCAUAGGGUCCGUUCCAGUAGAGACUGGUUACUUUGCCACAUCACCAAUGUCAUACGGUCAGUGCCGGUCCUAAGAUUUCGAGGGUCCUCUGACGAACUUAUCGCGACGGCCCUUCUAGACUAUAUAUAAAUCUUAUAAUAUAUAAGCGCUAAUUUUUCUUGCAAAGUGAAAACAAAUCUAAUGAUAUAUUUUUAAUUUAACAUGUUUGAUAAUUAUCGAGAAAAACUAAUAUGAUUACCUUAAGGAAGAGUAGAUCUCCAUAAUAUCCAUUGCUUCUCAUAAAAAGAUAGUUCUUCGGGCGUUUCUUGAUGCAAAAUCAUCAAGGACGGUAUUGAGAUCAAUAGUGUCCAAGAUAUCCCUCUCGAUGGUGCAUAUAGCCAAUCCAUUUAACCUUUCUUGUAACGUAGUUGAUCUCAAAUAAUUCUUCAACAACUUCAAUUUUGAGAAACUUCUUUCGGCCAAAGCUACAGUCACAUGUACAGUUAAAAGGAUUUGAUAGGCAACUGAAAUAUUUGGAUAGCAAUCUGCAGUUAUAAUAAACUCCAAAAUCUUAAGCGCUGACAUCAACGAAUCUGGCAAAGUCACUUGUAGCAUCUUUAAUUCUGAGAAAAAAUCAUUAAUCUCAACAUCGGAUAAUUACUUGUAGCAUCUUUAAUUCUGAAAAAAAAUCAUUGAUCUCAACAUCGGAUGAGUUAUCAUGAGAAAAUGUUUCCACAAAAUUCUUGCAGCGCAGCCAAAGAUCAGCUUCAUCCAAAGAUUUCAAAUUUUUUGAGUUGAACAAAAACCCAAAAAUGUUAUCAGAUUCUUUCAUCUGCUCAAAUCUACUAGUCAAUGAAGCAAUUGCAGCAUCAAUCAUAAUAUUGAAGUACUCUACUCUAAAUGAGUCCACAGCAUAUCGUUGUAUUUCCUCAUCUUGAUCAUCUUGUUCAUCAAAAUGUUUCUUUCUCUUUUCUUGACGUUUUGUACGAAAUUUUGACUCUAUAUCCAUUUCAUAUGCAAUAUUUUUUGCUGUAUCCAUACUAGAAGUGAAACCUCCAUCUUUGUACUUCUUAAAAUAUGAUAUGACACCUUCAAUAUGUUUGGGAGUAUCAUCUAUACUCACAAUUUUAGAUUGCAACUUCUUGCUCAUCAUAUUUAUAGAGAAUAAAAUAUCGUGCCAAAUAACCAAACCAACUAAAAUUUUAAAAUUCUCCAGUGCACUCAUCAAAGAUUGACAUUCACUAACUGCCAUUGGGUCAUCAGUUGAAGCCUUCUCUAGCGCUAUUAAAGCUGAUCUUAUUUGAGGAGUUUGGAAUCUGAUAGCUUGAACAUUUUUUAUUCGGCUUUCCCAGCGUGUAUUAGACCAUGACUUAACUAUCAAUCCGGGGACAUUAUCCACCGAAAUCUUCCACCUUUUGUAGAUUUUGCAAACAAUGUGUAUAUACGUUGGAUGAGAUAAAAAAAAGAAAUAGCUUGCCUGCAAGAUUUAACAAGUAGUAAGUUUCAAAUUUUUCCCAAAUCAUGGCAUAUUAUAUGAAAACAAUGUAUAAUAGAAAUAAUAGUUUACCUGCAAGAUUUUUUCAUAUCACAAAGAGUAAGAUUCAGAUUAUGAAAUGCACACGAUAUGUAUAGUGCUCUUCGAUCAAUUUCAAGCAAGUGCUUCUGAACACCUUGAUGAGGACCUAUCAUAUUUGAACCAUUAUCAUAGCCUUGUCCUCUCACAUCAUCAAUAUUCAAAUCAAGAGAUGUCAAUACAUUUUUUUAAUUCAUUAAAAAGACCCAAUCCUCAUGUGUCAUCUACCUUCAAGAACUCUAGGAAGAACUCCUCUACCCUUAGAACAUUCCUCGACAAAUUGACACACCGAAUAAUUAGAGUCAUUUGGUCUUCAUGGCUCACAUCUGGAGUACAAUCUAAAAUCAUAGAAAAAUACUUGGCAUCCUUAAUGAUCUUUAAUAUAGUUUGUUUCACACAAUCUACAAGAAGAGAAAUCAUCUCAUUCUGAAUUUUAUGCCCAGGAUAAUGAUGAUGAAUCUCACUAUUUUGAAUCCGCCUAAUAUGGUCUUGCAUCACAGGAUCAAAUUCACCCAUCAUUUCAACUAUGUCCAGAAAGUUACCAUUGCUAUCUUGAUAUAGUUUCUCAUUUUUCCCUCAAAAAGCCAAAUUAAGUUUAGCAAAAAACUUGACAGCAGAAACAAUUCUUACUUAAACUUGUCUCCAAUGCUCUCUCUCCUUUGCAAUUUCCCAUUGCAAAUCAUCAUCAAUUAUUUUAUUUUUCUCAACCUCAGCCUAAGUUCAUUCCAAGUAUUCAUGUUUGUUAUAUGCUCAACACUAUUCUCAUGUUGCUUGAGUCUAAGACUAAGAUGUUUCCAGUCCCUCAAUCCGUCAUGUGCUAGCAAAUUUUUGCUCUGACUUGAUUUGAACAAUUUGCAGUAAAAAAAAACUUUGCCCACAUGUUUAAAUCAACCAUUUUCUAUCAACCACCUCACCAUUGCCUAACUUUCUGGAGUAGUAAGCAUAUGAAAAAGGUCUAUUAAGAGCAUCUACAGGGAACUCAAGAUUCAAUUCUCUCACCGACCCCUUUUCAAUCAAUAUAUCUCUACCCUUAUUAUCAAGAUUUCCCUAAGUUCUAGGAUCAAAGACAUCAUCAAGAGAAUCUUCUUGUACGUCAUCAAUUGAAUUUUCAGGUUGAGAGGAAAGCUGUAAAUUUUCAUUCUAUGUAGCAUCAUCAAUGGUAUCAACUUGUUCACUUAAAUUAUCAUUAACUUGUUGCUACCCUUAUUCUUCAAUAUCAAGUGCAUCUACAGGAUUAUCAUCCGGUACAACACUACUUGAAGUAAAAAAACUUAUGUAUAGCAUCUUUUUUAGAUUCAAUAAAUUGACCUUCUAGUUUUUUCUUUUUUUUUCUGAGGCUCCGACAAAUGUUUCUUAGGCUUAAAUUAGAAGAAAAACACGACUAUAUGAGUACUGAGUACUAGAAGUCUGAAGUAAUUAAUUUAAAUUAAAAAACAAUCAAGGAAAAAAAAUACCUAGGGCUAGGACCUGAUCAGCUGAUGAACUAAUGAUUGAUGAAGUGAUGAUCGAUCAGCUGCAGUGAUCGGAGGGCCUGAUCGCCGCCAAAUCAUCAAGAAAACCACAAGAGCAAAAUUAGCAUCCACAAAAAGCACCAGCGUCGCAGGAAAAAACCCCCAAGCGGGCGUCGGGCGAUGAGGCGUUGACCGACGGAAGCACGCACUCAUCGACGGUCGGCGGAGGCGUGGAGCGAGGCGACGUCAUGGAGCGGUGGAGGGGCAGGGCGCCGACGAGGUGGAGGGAGCGGACGCGGACGGUUGGGGUUUUUACUUUUUAACGCGACCGCCGCGGUGCCGCGAUCAGAUCGGCUGCCGCCUUGGCGCCUCUUCGCAUUCGCUUCAUGUUUAGACUUGCUGCGGCCUCUUUGCUGUGUACGGUCGGGGGUCUGUGUGUAUACCUACAGUAUACCUGGGUCUGGACCCCUCCUUCUCAUGGGUCCUCGGCCGUCGCAACUCUCGUACCUUUCUAGGGCCGGUAUUGCACACGGUAGAUUUUUUUUUUGGAAAAGUUGGAGGUGAGUUUUACUUUCAAAAUCUUGCAAGAAAAGUUCGAAUAGUAGAAAUUUUUCAUUAAUUUUUUUGAGAGAAUUUUGAUUUUUAAACGUCGCGGUGAUGCAACAGCCUUAUACGAUACGGGCACGGUCAGAGUCUCAGAGAGCGUCCAGCCUUCGUCUCCGCGCCGCUGGAGUCCUAAAACCCUACUACCCAAAAAUCUCCCCAGUCCCCCACCCCACCGUCAUCGCGCGGCCAGCCAUGCGCCCCUUCCACCCUCCCCGCCCCAACCCCAACCAGCCCCACCGCGGGCGGCCCGGCGGCGACCCGGGCCCGCCUCACCUCCCCGGUGCCCCCAUGCACCCCUCCUUCCCGCCGCCCGUCCCCAACCUCGCCGCCGCCGCCAACCCCAUGGCCGCGGCGGCGGCGGCCAACCCUUUCCUCGCGCUGCAGCUCCUCGGCCAGGCGCAGCAGCUCCAGAACCUCGGCUUCCUCGCCGCCGCCGCGCUCCAGCAGCAGCAGCAGCAGCAGCAGCAGCAUGCGCCUUUCUUCCCGGGAGGGUUCACGCCGAACCCCAAUCAGUUCGCGCCCUACGCGGGCGGCCCGCCGCCAGCCGGUUUCAAUAGCGGCGGGGCGUUUCGGCCAGGCGGUGCUGGGGUUUUCGGGCCGCGACCGCCGAGGCCCAUGAUGAGCCCUGCGGGGAAGGGUUCCAACAACAACAACAACGCUGGUAGUGUCGGAGCCCCAAAGCCGAUUCCGAUUCUCAAUGUUGGGAAGAAGGACUACAACAACAACGCCAGAAGCGGCGGCACGCCGAGGCAGAUUCUCAACGAUGUGAGGAAGGAGCGGAAUAACAGUGGUGACUGCAACGGCGAGGUGAUUGAAUCCUUUGCCGUUAUUUGUUGGGAUUCAUCAAUAGGGUAUGAACUAACACUAGGAUUUUAGCUUUAUGAUUAUCAGUGCACACAGGAGUUUGCUGAUAUAUGUGUUAUUCGGUCUGUUGCAUUUGCUUAGCAUAGCAUUUUUUAUCUGCAGAAUGGUGCCUUUUGAUGGAUGUUGGUAGGAACAAUUAACAUUAAGAUGACACUCUAUAUGCUCAUCAUUCCAAUCAUUGUGCUGGGUGCCAAGCAUCAUUUUCAGUAGAUAAAUCACACUGUACUGCAAUCAAAUAAUACAUGUUUAGCCUGAUAACUGUUGCUGAGUUAUCUGAUCUUCCAUAACUAUUUUCACCAAGUGCCCCUAUGAGCAAAACUAACUCAGUUCUUAAUGCCCUGUUUGUUCAUGUGCACAAUGGUUCUCUGAAGCUUUUGGUGUUCUAGUUCUAUUCCUCUUGUACUCAUUAACUUUUCAUGGAUUGGUGUGCACGCAACUGUUGAUGGUUCCUUAGACCUUUAGGAGUGUGUAUAUAUAUUACCAUCUGUAAAGAACUCUGUAGAUGAUUUUCACGUCAUAAGCCAUAAUUUAUUCUGUUUCAAGUGUUAAUUUUCCAAUAAAAAAGCUUUUCUAUGAUCUUUUUUCCAUUAAUUAAAGAAUGUACCGAUUCAUUUAAUUUCUGAUUUGUUGAAAUUACAACAGGUAAACCACUUUGAGAAUAAAACAGAUGGCAUAUCUAAUUUUGCAUCUGAAAAUGGGAACAGAACAACAUAUCAGAAAUCCCGAUUUAACUCUGGAAGAGAUGGUAGAGAUGUCAGGCAAUUUGGUGCACCUAGAGGGAGGGGAAGAGGAAGGCACUACAAUCAAGGUCGUGGAAGAGGUAGUGUGAUUUAUGACACACAGUUAACUAUACAGAUCUUUUUUUUUUGGUCUCCUCUUGCUUUGAACAUGCAUAUUACAAUGGCCAAAUUAAACCAUUACUACCUUCUCUGCAUAGUGAGAGUUGGGAUCAUAUGUUUUGUACUGAAGCUAUGCUCAGUGUUCAUCAUCAAGCUGGUAUGUCUUUGAUUUUUGCAAGACUGGAAUGCAUUCUUUUUCUAACAAAAUGUAAACUAGCAUGUCCAUUCUCCUAACCUGGAAUUCUUUGAGAGAAAAUGUCUUUUUAAGCUCCAUUUUUCUUGUACUCUUCUAUAUCUGCCACAUUUGUUUCAUCAUCUUUCUUAUUAAUUGAUAUCUCUCCAACUAACUAGCAUGAUUAUUUCUUCACUUUAUCAGGAAACAACAACUGGGGAGACACAAAAUCCAACUUCAUGAGCCAUGAAAGUCUAGCAUCAGGGCGUCACAGUGAUGUUCCAGCUCCGGCAUCAGGCGGACACCGAAAGUAUGCAUUACCGAAUGGUGUAUUUUGUUGUCAAUAUCAUUGGUAUUAAUAAGAACCCUUUUUUCCGUGUCUGAUGCGUAUUAAGAAGAACCCUAUUAUGUGUUAGCUGGCAUCUCUUCUAGUUUGUUCGUAGUUAAAAAUGACCUGCAGACUUCUUUAUUAUACCCUUUACCACAUUUUAGUGUUAAGUGCUUGAGUAUCUUGGGUACAACAUCCACUUCUCAGCUAUUAUGAUUAUGCUGCCGUCAAACCAUCAGAACUUAUGCCUUUAUUCUGAGAAUAUUUGAAGCAUGCGAAUGCUUCUCUAAUCUCUAGUGAUGUUAUAAUCCUUUUAUGUAUGUAUUGGAAAAGGCUAUAGUCUAGGACAACAUGUUGAACAAGAUGCCCUCAACCUCCUAGGCUACAGCCUCCUAGUUAUUCUACAUUCACUUUCUAUUGGUGCUUUUGAGAUUUGUGCCUUCGAAGUCUGACUGCUUGAUCUUCCUAUUCUUUUGUUGUUGUACAAAUACAAUUUAAUUAUAGGCUUGCCACUUCCUAUUUCUUAGGCAACAUACAGAUAAUAUUUUAACAUAUACUUGCAGGCGCCCUUCUAUAAUUUAUGAUGCAAAUGAAGUUAAACAGUGGGUAGAAGCACGGAAGAAAAACUACCCUACAAGCGUCAAUAUAAACAAGGUUCAUAUUUGUACUUAUGCCUCCUUAAGCCUGAAUGACUUCAUGUCUGCAUGAAAGAACGUUACUGACCAACUGCUUGUGCUCCAUAAUGCAGAAGUUGUCUGAGAGUCACUUAGAUAAUCAAAACAAGGACAAAGAUGCCCAGCUGCGACGCCAGGUGAUCUAAUAGUUAUUAUGGAUUUAUGACCAUGAUGUCCCUCAGUUUAAAAUGAAAAUAUUUGUCUAUAAAUGGUCGGUAAUUAGAAUCGUUGUCCACAGCAUUCAAGUAGUGGGGAUAUGUCUGUGGAUGUUACAAUUCCUUUAUUUCGACCUGGAAAUGAAUAUUGGCCCGGUUCUUAUAUGCAACCAUUUUAUUUGGUGCAGGAACUGAAGGAAGUCCUAGCAAAGCAGCAAGAACUGGGUCUUGAAUUACCUGAGUUACCACCUGGCUAUCUAUCUGAAACUGAGGAUCAAGGCAAUGAAAAGAAAAGUAAUUGGAAAACUCAACGCAGGGAUUCUCGUUUUGAGAAUCGUGGCAAUACUAGCAAAAGACCGAGGUAUGAGCGUGGAGAGUUUCAGUCUAAAAGAUCCAAGGUAUGGAACCGCACUCCUAGCAAUGAUGGUGCAUUGGCUAAGAGCAGAGAACCAACCCUCCUACAGAAGCUUCUUAGCUCUGAUAUCAAAAGGGACAGGCAUAGGCUUCUUCACACAUUCAAAUUCAUGGCCUUGAAUAAUUUCUUUAAGGACUGGCCUGAUAAGCAGCUGCAGUUUCCCAUUGUUAAGGUGAACCAGAUUGAAAUUGAAGAUAAUAUUACCACAGGCAACUUAGAUGACUUGGAGAAUGCUGAGAUGGCCAAGGUCAGCAGCCUUGAUACAACUGUAAAUGGUGUUAGGAAAGAGUUGAGCUCGAUUGAUGAAGAAACUGGUAUUGCUGACCACAAUGAUGACGACGAAGAGGAUGGUGCUAGUGCGGACAGCAGAGACGAGGAUGGGGACGAGGACGCAGAUGAAGAGCAGUUUAACGAAGCCGAAGAUGAUGCGGCUGCCUGAAAUUUUGACUGAACCGGGUAUCUGAAAUACCUUUUUUUUUCUGUGUGUGUAAAGUUGAGCGCGCACAAUGCAUUCUAUCGCUCUUCGUAAAUUCCUGGCGAGGUCUCAUGUUUGAAGAAAAUACAUGUAGUUGAAUUAUGCGGAAAUGUUCUUUCUGAACAAAAGCAUAAAAAAAAGGUGCGCACAGGAGUUACGAGACCCCAUCGUGACUAUCGCACAGCAAAGUUUGCUCUGAAUAUGCCUUGGAGUAAAGGUCAGUGGCACUGUUAAAUUGUUAAUGCAGGCAACGCCCGACGACACGCGGCGGCGUUGUCUUUUGAAGAAAACCACCUGGCACAGUGGCAGUCUGGCACCCCAGUAGUUUUCUAAAAUGAAAACAAUUAUCAUCAAUUGCUAUGAAAUUGAUAUCGUAGUAAAAGACAUUUGAAUACUGAUCUAUCCAUGUAACUUUAUGCAUUAAGCAUGCAUAUGAUUUAAUGAAUUGUUAAUUAAAAUCUAUAUAAAUUUGACUUUUGAAAAUCCUAACGCACCUACUAAUCUCAAACAGAGAACUAGCUACAAUCCUUACUGCUUCAACGUGCAGUGAUAUCAUGCCAUGUCGCUUUGGUCGUGUCGACAUGCCAUGCCGGAGCGCUUUUACUCCGCCUUCACCCUCCCGAGGACGGCGCUUGAAUGCCGCCAGAGAAGCCGAGAUUUGUCGCCCGAUUCGGUCCCUCAGCUGAUAUUUUUGGCGCGCACUAAAGGCGGCGCACACACGGCGCGCUUCCUCCUCCCCGCUUCGACGAUCGAGCAGCUCGCCGCGCCGCCGCGCCGCGCAAGCAAGCCCGCCUCCCUGCCCCUGGCCGGCGCCUGCCCUGGUGUAGUCUGUAGUCUGGACCAGGGCGACCGCCGCAUUGAUGCCGCGGCAUUCAAGGUGGGUGCGCGCGCGCUGCACUGCACCUGCACGCACGCACAUGGCACCGUCUCGCUCCGAUUUCCCAGCACGCCCACGGCCGCGGCCUACCAGGCUACAGCAGCCGCAUUCAUAUCCGCAUUCAUUCGCACGCAGGAGCAGCACCAUCCUGGCCGGCCAGCGAGCGGCGGCUUGCACUGCACUGGCCGAUGGUGAUCGGCCUGGACCGGUCGCCGUCGCGGCAUGGACGAUGGACCCAACAACCGGCUGGGCGGUGGAAUGGAAUCCCAUCGGCUCCCAUCACGUAACCUGGCGUGGCAAUGUUUCUGAUCAGUUCGAAAUCAAGGCCCGGCACACGCACCCUUGGAGUUGGACUGUUGGAGUGGUUAGCUAAUUAAAGACAGGCUGCAACCACACCACACAAGUGCAUGCAGCUCGACCAGGCCCCCAGUUCGGUAGUACACGCUACAACUCCGGCCAGCAGUGGCCAAACCUCCGGCACGCCAUAUUUAAGAGCACGCGCCAGCAUAGGAGUCGCUUCUCUCGGCGAGCACCAGGAACACUCCAAGCACAACAAGCAGCAUACUCCUCUGCUAGCCGCUAGCUACUUCUGGCGAUGGCAAUGCUGCUGCCGCGGUUGGCUACGGUGCUUGUGGCGGCGGCGCUGGCGUUCGGGAUGGCGGCGGCGCAGGGCCCGGCGGCGGCUCCCGGCCCGGCGCCCGGGAUCAGCGACGAGUGCCUUAACUCGGUGCUCAACAUGUCGGACUGCCUGACGUACGUGACGGCCGGAAGCACGGCGCGGCACCCGGACAAGGCCUGCUGCCCGGAGCUGGCGGGCCUGCUCGAGUCCCACCCGGUCUGCCUCUGCCAGCUGCUGGCCGGCGGCGCCGAGUCAUACGGCGUCAGCGUCGACUACAAGCGCGCCCUCGCGCUCCCUGGCAUCUGCCGCCUCACCGCGCCGCCCGUCAGCGCGUGCGCAGGUAAUAAGCAUGCAUGUUCUAUGACAUCGUUGUAUUGUUAUCUUCCCGGUCAGUCGCCGGCUUUGCAUCAGCUGGUCACCUCGCGUGUCUCUCUACUGUCCAGUGGCCAGUGGGUUACACGAGCUAGUAAAAGUUUCAAACAAAAACCUCAGACUUGCAUAUAGAAAAAGUAAACUUUAGACCAUGACAGAGAGCUGGCCAAACUAAGCAGUUUCCUUGCCACUGCCUACGAUUCUGUUCUUCCGUUCUCAACUAAGUUACAAUCUCUGAGAAGUUUGUGAGAAAGCAAGAUGCUAGUACAAGAAUAAAAUCUUCUUCCUUGCUCAAUCUGUAAAACCAUUGCCUUUUGCAGUACGAUUGCAGUCAAACUUACUCUAGUUAGUAAGAGGAAAGAUGAUAGGAUGAGUUUGCAACUUACUCUGUUCAUCUGAUUACGUCUCCAAUUCCGGUACUAAACUGCUUUAUGAUAUCUGCAGCGUUCGGAGUCCCUCUCCCUGCGGGACUGGUGCCUACUGCAGCGCCCUCGCCCAUGUCAGGCCUCUCUCCUUCUAUGGGUCCAGAAGUACCUGGUAACUUGCUAUCCUUUCCCUGCUCUUGAUUCUCUAGUCCUUCACUAGCAUACAUCAUUGUAACAAAUUGAUAGUGCAUCAGUACAAUCGAAUGGAGGAUAUUAGCACUAAAUGCCAAUUAGAGAGACAUUGACCGCUCUUAACUUCUUAUUCCCUCCGUACCAAAUUAUAAAUCGUUUUAAUUUUUCUAGGUUCAUAGAUUUUAUUAUACAAUUAGAUAUAAACUAUGUCUAGAAUUCUAUAUGUAUAAUAAUAUCUAUAAAUUUAGAAAAGAUCAAACGAUACGUAACUUGGGACGGGGGAGUAUGUUGCUGAUGUUAACAGAUGCUUGUUAGUAGGUGCCCUCAUAGUCAGUCAGUCACACUCACAUGGUCACACAUUCUUAGAUGACCUGCUUACUCUGCUAACUUAUUACCACUCCGAUCCAUCUCGUGUCCUGCAGCGAACACGCCGGCCGGCUCAGCAGCGAAGUCGUCGAACCACGCCCCAGGCCGCGUCACCGCCGGUGGCCUCAUCGCCCUCGCCGCGCUGCCCCUCGCCGUCGCGGCCGCCGCCGGGAUGCUCUAGGCCACCACCGGAGCUUGUGAUUUCUUCUUCAUUCUUACCACACAUAUGGUUUGUGCAUUACUAUGUAAUACGCACGUACGGUACAAACAAUUGUUUCCACGCACGAGAUUCUUCCGGGUUUUGUUGUUGUUUUUUCCAUGUAACAAUUCCUUUCGGUGUGCUGUAACAUUUGCUAGAGAUAGUAGUGACUGCUGUGUACGUAUAGCAUCGUCGUGUUGGUGUCGUUCCUACAGUUUGAUGCCGCACGUACUGUUCGUCUCGUCUCGGCAUUUGGGUCAGUCGAGUCACGAUCGGCGACAUGGCAGCAAAUGCUGUGCAGUACGAGCGAAACAGUGGCGGCGAUGGAAUUUAUUCGAGAGGGAAAUUAAAAUCUGGGGGUUGAGCUGUCGAGGAGGGGCGUGUGGCCGUGUGGGGGAAGACCGGGAGGAGAGGAGGAGCGUUGGAUCUUGCUGGCGGUCGGCAGGACGUCGUGGGCAGCGACACUCCGGCCCCGGUGAUCGUCUUGAGCCCUACUUCUACUUGGGCGCUGGCCGUUGGAACAUCAAUGCCGAGAUGCCCUCCGAUCCUUCCACCACUGCUGGCAUUUGGUUGCGGCCCAUCCCACCCCGUGUGGCCAUGUGACUCAUCUGCGGCUGCAAUAGUUGUCGUAGUUUCUCUUGCGACUUGGGGACAAAGAUCCAAAACGCUUGCUCUAUAAUUGCUGCACUUGUUUGGGUACUCACAUUCACAGUCGAUACAAGGGAAGUCAGAGAGGACAAAAUGCACCAUGACGAGUGGAGCGUUUAUGCGGUUCAAGUUCCAUACUUCCCGUGAAGUCAAACACAAUGGAGAAGGAGCCCUAAGAAAUUAUUCUGCUGUUCAAAACAAAAAUUGUCCCGUCUCAUGCAAUCAUGCUUCCAGAAUCCAGAUAAGCUGAAGAAAGAACAGAGACCUACAAAAAGGGUUGCUGCACAUAUUUCGGAAAGCUAAGCAUGAGCUGCCCAGCACACGGGUGGUAAGCAUGUUUACAUGACUAACCACGGGGAAAAAAAUACAACCUAACUUUGCUAUACUGGUUAAGCAAUGUUGUUCUGAAACUGAAAACAUUUUGCUAAGUUAUCAAGCACACAAAGCCUGUUUGGAUGAGGGGGGCCGUUGGUUGGGUUUACCCAUCAUACAAAUAGGCGCCUUUCCUGAGCGCUUCGCCUUUUUCUGGUACCGGGAUAAGCUGUAUAUAUUCUCAUCAUAUUCUAAGAGAGCUCACAUUUCGUGCAGUGCCUGCAAAAUGGGAUGCAUAAUAUUGCUUAUUAUUAAGAACCACUCUAACAGAGAAAACAGAGAACAAUAACCGUGCAAGCAGUAGGCAUGACUUUACUUUGCCCUUGCCCCUUGGUAAGAGCUCUUCAGCACCAAUUCUCAUGUCAGCAUUUGAUGAGCGCCUCUUCGUCUUUUUGUUAAGUACCUCGACCUCAACAACGAAGGUUCCACAAACAGGACGAUGAUCGGAAAAUCUAGACUCCCCACGGUAGUAGGAUAAUUGCAUUAUACCGUCCCCACGCCACAAUAUUCUAUCACACCUGAGCAAGUUUCAACAAGCUGUGUGAAUACUGAAUAGAUGUAGGCAAUUGGAGUAUAGCAAGUUUGAGCUUUGUACCUAAACAAGUUAGCUUAUACAAUAUGAAAACUGCAGGAUGUGGCGGGUUUCCUUAUAUUGUUGAAAUAGAAGUAAUAAGAAUGCCUCAUUCUUAUGUGCAAUACCAAAUUAAGUUGUAUUUGACACUUUUGGCAAACAGGAAUGAAGGCAGCAUUAUGUGCUAUGUUUAUACCCAUUAAGUAUACCCCUAGGGGGACAGCAGAACUUAACAUAAAUGCAUUUUCUGUAUAGGCAUUUUUGUCUAACAGAAACCUAUAUUCAAAAGUGGUACAUACCACGCCGGUGUUCUCCUCUUUUUCUUUGAUGUUGCAGUCUCACCAGCAUAAGCAUCUGAGUUAAACGAGUACUUGUACGUUGGAGCAAAAUAUAUCUUCCCCUCAUUCCAACCCUUAAAUACUCGCCCGACAUCACGCUCGAUUUUAAGCUGAAGCAAAAUAUACACAACAUAAGGCGAUGUGCUAAAAAGCACAACAAACAAUGCAAAUACAAAUAAAACUUUUCAUAUUCCUUUGUUUGUAGUGCUUAUUGGUACAAAGCAUUAUCAUUUUCAACAAAAAAAUUAUUAACUCUUGCUACCUUCUUUCGAUGAAUACUAAUUAACUUAUUUUUCAUAUGAUGAGGUAACUCUGAUGAUAGGCAUAUUUAGUAAUGGUGCCAUUCCUCCAAUUAGUGUUUUUUUCCAUAAAAAGAUUGCCCUCGAGCUCUAGCAUUCACUAAAGAAGCAGAUGUAGACCGAAAGCAGUCCUACAGCCACCCUACCAAGGCACUGGCAUGUUCCUGAUGAGAUAGAAAAGUAACCUGAUCCUUUUCAAAAAGGGCAUCCCAAUUAUUUUCCAUUAAAAGCUUCUUGGUAUCUGCAUAGCUCAGUGCAAUGCGGUAGUUCAGAUCCCCAAGCCAUAUCACCUUACUGAAAUCAACAACGCAUAAAUUAGUGUGGAAAACAUUUCGUAGUGAAACAUAUAUCUAAUUAAAUGUAGCACAGCAUUCUUACUCAUGUUCAAGAAUUUUCUCUGGGAUUCUUCUUCCAGUUCUCCGACAAAUCCUAGAAAACAUUGUGAGCCUUAGUAUCUCUAGAACAUCCGAGUUUCUCCUGAAUUCAUCACCUUCUUUCUGGCCUGAAGCCAAAUGGCUGCAGACAAAACAAAAGCUUGUCUGGUGCAGUGUCAUGCUUACUGAUAUACAUCCCUGCAGCAGAAGAAGUGCAUUCAGAAAUAGAAUAAGUACUCACAGGAUAACUUCAAUCUGAUUCUAUCCUGACCUUGUUUCCUAGACAGCCCAGAAUCCCGCGCCCUAUGCAAGACUUUCUUAAAUGGCCAAUAUGCUGUACUAGUUCUUUUUUCACCCACACAGUAACAAAAAUGCCAACCAUUUGUUUGCAUGCUAUGAGAUUAUAUUUUAAUUGAUCCCUUGUGGCUGGAGCAGAAGUAAUUCCAUCGAUCACAGAGCCAUAAGAAUCCCUUGGUUUCUCUUUGUCUUUCACUUCCUCUUCUUCAUCCUCUUCAGAGGAAUCGGUCUCAUCUGCAUAUGCUUUUGGACACCGAAAGCAAGCAUCCCUGUAGGAUGUUUUGGUCAUUUCUACUGGGCAAUUGCAGGCCUUAAGUUGUUUUCUACGGACUGGCAUGAAAGAUUUGCUAAUGGCUUUUAGCAAGGACUUUUGGAAGAUCGUGGCACCACUUGCUGUUUUUGAUAGGUCUGAGAAUGAAGUAUCGAGGCUUGAUGAAGCUCGAGAAGAAGCCGAAUCAACAGAUGGAGAUGGCUCAUGCUGAAAGACGUUGGCAUCAGUGUCAGCUGGUCGGUUUAGCGCUUGGUUUAUAAGAACAAGCCAUCUAGCAGCUGGUUCGUUGUCUUCUAUCACAAGCACGUUACCAGCAUUCAGAGGAACAAUUUCCUGAAAGCUGUUCAAAUGUUAAACAAACAAAAGCGAUGGCACAAUAAUGUCAAACUAAAAGUUCCAUUAAAAUAUCCUGAAAGUAUAUAUACUUCAUUGAGCUUAAAAUAAACACCAAACAUGUCAGUGCAACAAUGCAGUAUAGUACCAUACUACCAUGGAGCAAUCAAGUAAAACUUCACUAUCUUAGCAUUUCCAGCUGUGUAUUAGUACUAUUUUGUGAGAAAUAACUAAACAUGAAAACAGAAUACACCAGCAGUAUAGGUCUGACAUUGGAAGGAUUUUCGUAGAUAUAAAGAGAAUACAAAUUAAAAACCUACCCCAAAACAUAAAUAUCUGAAUUGUCAUCUGGGGGAAGAAAAUCUUCCAGGUUCAGUGCAGUAGUAGGUGUUUUUCCUCCAACAUUCCAGGUGGCAACAAAUAUUCUGCAAAUUGAAGGUAGAGAGUGAGGAAUUUUUUUUUAUCUUAGCAUAAGAUGGACGCAAGAAUGGUAGAAUAUGAAACUUAGCUAUCAUACCUGAUGGGUUCAGUUGUAGUGUUAUUCGAAGAUUGCGCAAGGAAAUGGCUGAGACGCAUGCUCUUAACUUCUGGUUCCAUUUAGUUCAAACAAGCAUAAGAAGCCAAUCAAAAUUUAAAAAUAAUAAUUGGAGGAAUCAGGAAAAAAAUACUGGACUUUGCAGACAUUAGAGUACCUGAAAGUGUUCUCAAGGGGGACGACAAUGCCACCUUAGAAGAACUUGGCCCAGGCUCAGCUGCUGUUAUAUAGGAGCACACAGAUAAGUUAGCUGCUGGUUGCAUGGUCUUAGGAUGCACUAGAGAUUCUUAUAAGAGAACCAUUAGCACUUCUUUUUGCGAGACAUUAGCACUUAGCAGAAGAAACAACUUGACUUAAAUUCAGGAAAAUAAAGAGAACUAGUUCUGUGCCAUGAUGGCAAGAGCUAACGACAGCAGUGACUCUAGUCUUCAAGUGGAUGGUUAUGAGAUGAUAAAUAUUACACGAUUUCAAGCCAAAUCAUAAGUGAUGGGGGAAUGAACUAGUGACAGAGUUUUAUUAUAAUAGAAUACUCUGGAACUGGGAACGAAAUCUUGUGUUCAAUUGUAAAGUGUCAAAACAGCCAAUUGUCUCCCAUUCCACAAUUUCAACCCCUGCCCAGAGAUCCAGUUGCGGUUUAGUGAGGUCAAUCAAGACAACAUACACAAACUCUCGUAAGUUUAGAAUGAUCAUGACAGUUGACCCAAGAUCUUUUUUAUGGGCAAGGUAAAUGAAGAAAUUUUCAGCUGGUGUUCCUAAUGCUAGUCUGCUAUUUGGAAAAUAAGAAUGCGAAACAACCAGCAUGGCGGCUUGGAUUGUCUGUACACUUAACGGCUUUCUUCCCCUUAGCCGUGAAAAGUUUUGGGCCGCAACCCUGGAUGGAACAGAAACAAAAUAUUUAGUGGCUUUUCAUUCCUGCACAAUGCAAUCGAGGAAAUACAAUUAACUUAUCACCUUCAUUUUCUCCUCACCAGUGGAUGCCAUUAUACGCUGAACCCGGUAGAAGGUUUUCCUUUGUAAUAUUUAAAGUCCGAAUACCGAAUGCAAUUUAAUUAAUAAUCUGCGAGUAGUUCAUAAUUGCAAACAAGCGGUAAGUAAGAAAAACUUAAUGCAACGACACAUGCAUUUUCUAAAAAAAACAAAAGGGUCAAUUUUGAACCAAAUCCUAGCAAAUCGCAUUCAGGAGAACUGAUGAAUGUUCUUACAAACCCAAAAUCCUGCCAGGCAAUAGCGAGAAUAGGCGAUUCAAAGCAAAUCACCCCGCUGCAGUGGAGAAGGAUCAUGCAAACAAAACAUGGAAACCAAAAAAUUGUCGUGAAAAAAAAGCAACCGAUAUGCGAUUUCCCAAUCCCCAAUCCUCCAUCCAAAAGCCCACGCAUCCGAAACGCACAAUGCCGCAUCAAGCGUACCCACCUUAGCCUGCAAGAACGUCCCGAAGUCUUCCUUUCCCAGGAUCCUAAAACCCGCAGCCAAGAUGCCGCCGCCACCAUCAACAGAGCUCACCAAUCGCCACUCUGCCCGCACGGCCGUGAAGGCCAGCAGUGCUACCAGCCACGAACACAACCUCGACGACGAGCCGACGCCGGGCCGCGGCCCCUGGAAUCCGGCAAGGGGUCGGGGUAGGCCGGGGAAUGCACGGCCAUCGGGGCGCCGUGGAAUCUUUAAACCGCGGGAGGGGACAAGUGUCGCACGGAGGGGAAUAGUUUAAAGAAGGAGCGCCUCCCGCCACGAUGGCUGGCGGCAUUCGAUCCGCAUCUGCCUGCGUGCGUCGCGUCGCGGGGCGCCGGCUGGCGGGGUUGACCGGGGCGGCGGGCGAGUUAGCGGGGCGCACGUGCGUGCGGUGAGAGGAGGGAUUGGCGAGGCGAAUGGAAAUGGAGUGGGGGGUUCCCGGGCUGGGAGGAAGAGGGGUGGCCGUGGUGGGGAGAAAGUGGAGGAGUAGUAGGAGCGCACGCAGGAGACGCUGUCAGCGGCAACGGGAAUUCUCGCUGGAUUCGGACGUGAUCCCGGUUCUGCGGCGCGGCGGUGGGUGUGGUGUGGGAAUCACGGCGCGGUGGGCCCGCGGGGUGGGGGCAUCGUGUGCUCGCGUACUUGCUCCGGCCGGCACACGCCAGCUGGUUCUCCGGAUCUGUUGCUCUGAUGUGACAUGCUGUUGGAUGGGAUUGAUGGAUGGUUCUGGGGCGGCACACGAGAACUCGGGCCGCCGACGCCGAGCCCACCGCUCUGUUUGCCGCUUUGGAAGCAGGCACCAGGCAGGGCCAAGGACGGACCAAAUAGUCGCCGGCGGGGAGGGUCGGUCCAGCCACUGCCGCACACCAGGCGCGUGUCGCCGCCGUGCUACGCGCUGUGCUGCAUCUUCCGCGAGCCGUCUCGGCCCCGAGCCUCACCGCAAAACUGUCGUGCUCGUGCCCUGCCCACGAACACCGGUCGGCCUCGGCAGCGUUUUGAAGCGCCAGGAUUUACUUCUGCGUUUCCCUGGCUGGCGUCACUGCCUAGCGGUUGAGCCGAUCGAUUGCCUUGCCCCCGGCCCCUCGGGUCACAUGCGCCUGCUCAAACCGCAGGAAGCCGCCACCCUCCCGCGCGAGGCCCUCGAGGCGCACAUCGUCUCGCUGCUCCGCCAAUGCCGGGGCCUCCUCGCGCUCCGCGCCACGCACGCGCACCUCCUCCGCAUCCGCCUCCCGCGCCUCACCGCCGCCUUCGCGCUCUCCAAGCUCCUCGCCUCCUGCACCUCGCACUCGCCCAACGCCGCCGCCUCCUACGCCCGCAACCUGUUCGACCAAAUCCCGGACCCGACCGCCUUCUGCUACAACUCCCUCAUCCGCGCGCUCCCCGCCGCAGGCCCCCCAGUGCUGGCCGCCUACUGCCGCAUGCUGCGCGCGGGGUCCCCGCGCCCCAACACCUUCACGCUCGCGUUCGCGCUCAAGGCGUGUGCGGUGGCCGCGCCGGCGCCGGCGCACGGGGAGGGGCGGCAGCUGCACGCGCAGGCGUUCCGCCAGGGGCUCGAGCCCAGUCCCUACGUGCGGACCGGUCUGCUCAACCUGUACGCCAAGUGCGAGGAGGUUGCCCUCGCCAGGACGGUGUUUGACGGCAUGGCCGGGGACAGGAAUUUGGUGGCGUGGAGCGCGAUGAUCGGCGGGUACUCGAGGGUGGGGAUGGUGAAUGAAGCGCUGGGGCUGUUCCGGGAGAUGCAGGCGGCUGGGGUGGAGCCGGAUGAGGUCACCAUGGUCAGCGUCAUCUCCGCGUGUGCCAAGGCAGGAGCACUUGAUUUAGGGAGGUGGGUGCAUGCUUAUAUCGACAAGAAAGGGAUCACGGUUGAUCUGGAGCUGAGCACCGCGCUGAUUGAUAUGUAUGCAAAGUGUGGGUUGAUAGAGCGGGCGUUGGGGGUCUUUGAUGCGAUGGUGGAGAGGGAUACAAAGGCAUGGAGUGCAAUGAUUGUCGGAUUAGCGAUACACGGGCUUGUAGAUGAUGCAUUGAGGCUUUUCUCAAGAAUGCUAGAGCUCAAGGUAAAGAAUGCUGCACUGAUAAGUUCGUAGAGAUAGGUUUGUCACUUGUUGAUUUUGUUGGUUAUUAGGCGAUAAUGAGGCCAUAUGCUUUGACUUCUAUACAUAGUUCGAUAGAAGCUAAUUUAUACUGAAUUAUUGUUUGUUUGUUUUAGCUCACAUGCUCAACUUGUUCUCCACUGGUACCUCACAUAUUCAAGCUAGAGCGGAUCAGCAUUGCAUAUGUUAUCUUUCCAAACCGUAAAGUUGCCAUUACAGCUCUCAUAUUUCACCUAAUUUCUUGUGUGUAUUGCAAUAUUCUAGGUGAGGCCAAACAAUGUCACAUUUAUCGGCGUGCUGUCAGCCUGUGCUCACAGUGGUUUAGUGGAUGAUGGGCGGCGAUAUUGGUCUGCUAUGCAAAAUUUGGGAAUCAAACCUUCAAUGGAGAACUAUGGAUGCAUGGUUGACCUCUUGUGUCGAUCUGGCCUUCUGGAUGAUGCUUACUCCUUUGUUAUUGGUAUGCCUAUCUCACCAAAUUCAGUCAUCUGGAGGACUGUUCUUGUGGCUAGUAAAAGCUCAAACAGGAUUGAUAUAGUGGAAUCAGCAUCAAAGAAACUCCUUGAGUUAGAACCUCUCAAUCCGGAGAAUUAUGUUCUGCUCUCCAAUUUGUACGCGUCGAACUCCCAGUGGGAUAGAGUGAGCUAUAUGAGGAAAAAGAUGAAGGACAACACUGUUGGUGCUGUUGCUGGUUGUAGUUCAAUUGAAAUAAACGGCUACUUGCAUAAGUUUGUGGUGAGUGAUGAUUCGCACCCUGAAAUCAAGGAGAUAAGACUGGUUCUGAGAGAAAUAGCGGACAGGGUGCGACGAGCUGGCCACAAACCUUGGACUGCAGCCGUUCUACAUGACGUCGGUGAAGAGGAAAAAGAAGUUGCACUUUGUGAGCACAGUGAAAGGCUAGCCAUUGCAUAUGGACUGUUAAAGACGAAAGCCCCAUAUGUCAUUCGAGUGGUAAAGAACUUGAGGUUUUGCCCGGAUUGCCAUGAAGUGGCAAAGAUAAUAAGCAAGGCAUACAAUAGAGAGAUCAUAGUUAGAGAUCGUGUUCGCUUCCAUAAAUUCAUGGGAGGCAGUUGCUCUUGUAAGGACUUUUGGUGAUUUCCUCGUGACAAAUGAAUCAUAGUGAUGCAAAAUUAUUCUAGAUACAUGCUACUAAGUACAAACAUAUGGUUAUCCUGAAUACAUAUGAUAAAUUUUGUGCUUUACAAAUUUCCUCUGUGCUAAUCCAUUAUAAUCAACUUUCAAGCCUAAACUUAUGACAACAUAAUUCACCCUUCCUAUAAACCACCACCGUGCAAUUUUCGAUAUUUUCGUUUCUUUAACGGAAUUUUCCAGUGUUAGGGUGUUUGGGAGGCAGGGGCUAAUAGCCUAAUUAGAAGUAUUAAACGUAGUCUAAUUGCAAAACUAAUUGCACAACCCCUAGGCUAAAUCGCGAGAUGAAUCUAUUAAGCAUAAUUAGUUCAUGAUUUGAUAAUGUAGGGCUAUAGUAACCAUUCGCUAAUAAUGGAUUAAUUAGGCUUAAUAGAUUCGUCUCGCGAUUUAGUCAAGAGAUUCUGCUGUUAGUUUUGUAAUUAGCUCAUAUUUAACCCUCCUAAUUAGGAUCCGAAAUAAAAAAAAAGUUUAGCGCCGGUAUAUAACACCCCCCGGAUACGAUCGCGUAUCCAUUCUGAGAUUACUCAUACGUGCGCCAACCUGGAACCCGUCCGGCGUCGUGGUGUACUCGGACGCGUAUAUAUAUGCCAAAUCCGGAGCGGUGGGGGAUUCGAUUCCGAUCCUACCCACACACCAUCCCGUCCCCAGAAACUGACGGCGAUGUCUGAAGAAUCCACGGCGGAGGCGCCCGGUGACGCGGCGGCGUACCACGAGGAAUACCUGGGAGUCCCCGGCGUCCGGUUCGCCCCGACGGGCCAGGAACUCAUCGUCCACUACCUCGGGCGGAAGCUGCGUAACGAGCCGCUCCCCACCGACCUCGUGGUCGACGGCCGCGACUCCUAUGCGGAGCACCCCAAGAAGCUCGGUAGGUCGGCGGCGGCUUCACGGCGCAUCUAUUCCUCUUCCCCUUCUAGAUCUCAUCUCUCCGCUCACCUUCGUCUUCUCGAGCUCUUGCAGUGCCCAAGCUGGGCGAGGGCAUCGGGGGCGCCUGGUACCUGUUCUCGUAGCGGGACCGCAAGUACGCCGGCGGGAUGCAGCCGAAGCGGGAGAUGGGCGACGGCGAGGGCCGCUGGAAGGCGGUGGAAGCGGAGAAGCUGGUCCUCGGCGGCGCCGACGGCAAGGAGGUGAUCGGGGCGAAGCGCGCGCUCACGUUCCACGAACAUUCCCACCAGGUGGACGCGCUGGGGAAGCGGAAGCGGGUCAGCAGCAAGUCGAAGCCCACCAAGUGGAAAAUGGUAGAGUUCGUCUCCAUCAACUCCAGCAGGGCCGCCCGCGACGACACCGCGCCCGACCCCAUGCUGGUUGGUGAUCCGAUCCGACCCGAUCCUCGUUCAAUUCAUUGCGUGCUGAAAACAAUUGCUGCCGAUAGCUAGAUCGAUCGCCGACGUGUUUGUGCCUUGCGUUGCGCCGCCGCAGUUGAACGAAUUCGUGCUGUGCAAGAUUACAAACAAGUAGCUGAGGGCGGCGAAUCCGGAUCCUGCUCAGGGCGACGAGAAGGAGGAGAACGACGACGACAACGGGGAGGAGGAACCGGCCCCUGACGGCGGCGGCGAGUCACUGGAGAAGCACCUUCCAGAGCAGCGGCCCGCAGGCGGUGGCGGCGCCGGGGCACAAGGCGAGCAGCAGCAACCACCACGCGGCGGCGGCGCCGGGUCGCACGGCAAUAUGCUCAGCUACCGUGGCGCAAAGUACUUCGUCGGCGUAGAUGGUUCGAACCGGUCCGGCACUCACAGGCUCAGCGUGUUCGGCUCCGACGACCACAUCGGGGCGUUCUACGGCGGCGGCGCCGGGUCACAUGGCAAUCGGCAGCCAGCGACAGCCGAAGCUCCGCACGGGCAACACAUGGCGGCGCUGCCCGGCGAUGACUACCGCGGCGCAAAGUACUUCGUCGGCGUAGAUGCUUCAAACCGGUCCGACACUAACAGGCUCAGCGUGUUCGGCUCCGACGACCACAUCGGGGCGUUCUUCGGCGGCGGCGCCGGGUGGGCACGCAGCGCGCGGGGCACCGACAAGAAGCGUCGGGCGGUGGUGCCGGAUCAUCGCCGGACGAGCAGCAGCAACCGACGCCAGAAGCUCCGAACGGGGGAGGUGCGGCGGCUACCGGUGCAGCUUCACAACAAUCGGACGCAAAUCUGUGCGACUGGGAAUUUUGUGAUUCUGCCAUAACUUUUGCAGAUUUUGUUGGUAGUACUUAAGUAAUCAUUUGGACGAUCUUUGCCGUGACAAUUGGGAGAAUACUUUGCUGUUUGUUCUUUUGAUUGAUUUGAUUUGAGGAAGCUCUGGUUAUUCUCAUUUUCGUCUAACUAUGCUCCGAUUUCUCUUUUUAAACCUUGCUGCAAGGGGCAAAAUUUUGAAAACGUGAGGUUUGAACAAAUUCCAAAUGCUGUCACAUGCAAUGCAAGUCAUUCGUUUUGGCAAUUUUUCAAACUAAUUUCGAUCAAAAUCAGCAACUCAUGGAAAAUUUUAGCAAGUUGCAAGGUUGGGAUGAUAAUUGAUACAUGCUUGCUCCCCGCAUUGCGGAAACCUCUGCCGAUUGGCGAGCACCACCAGCCCAUCAAGCUCGGCUCUGUAGGGAAGUGCAUUGGAUAUUGAUUAAGAGCAACUCUUAAGAGUAUUUAAAAAAUCUUCCCUAAAAUCAUCUAUUAGGGGCUCUACUAAAAAUUUAUUCUUCCAAAAUCAUGUCAUCUUAUAGCAGAUCCACAAUAAUAAACUCCCGAAUACUUCAAAACUGACCAAGUCGGCACGUGAACCCUCUAUUGGGGUCUAGCACCUUCCCCCCUCCGACGAGAACUCCGAAGACUCCGGCUCCAUCUCCUCCGAUAACUCCGAAGAAUGGAGUUUGUCGCCGCGGGCACCAAGAUCCUCGGGCUGAACCGCUCUACCAACCACGCCAUGGACGUCAGCUUCAUCUUCGACGCGUCGCAUGGAUGUCAGCUUCGUCUUCGACGCUGCGACGCGGCUAGUGUCCGCCGCCCCUCCUUUCCAAUCGCCCAAGAAGUCCGCAACAUUCUGGACGGCCGGUGGCACCAUCUACGCCCUGGACCUGAACAGCCGCGAUGUCGACGAAUCCUAGGAGCGCUGCCUCUUCGAGAGGCUCGGCCCGACCCGCAGAGCUGCCACGGUGGGAAGCUCUGCGGCCACCGUUCAAGGAGGACUGGUACCUCGAGCUCAAGUCCCACAUCGUGCACCCGGACAGCACCACGGUGAGCCUGUCCUUCCGCAUGGCCCGAACGUUCUCCUUCGACGGCGAGCGCCUCGAGUGGGCGCGCCAUGGCCGCUGGGCCCUACCACUCGACGGCGAGGCAUACCACGUCCGCGAGCAGUUCGGGGUGACUUGGGAAGGACCAGACUCGCGCAUAUAUGCGGGACGACGAAGCUGUUUUUGGUGUCCACACAUUUUUACGGGAGGAUGGAGCAGCUGUUGAAGGUAAGUUUUUUCCCCUAAAUAAGAUUUUGGGACAAUUCUAAGGGAGUUUUUGGAGUUGCUCUAAAUGGCAAGGUAGAAGGCCAUACGCCCUCAAAAUCUUCUGAACAUCACGCUAGAUUUCUUUUGGCAAAAUGGAUGGUUUGGUCCCUCAACUUUGUUCCGAGGUUCAAGUUCGUCCCUCAACUUUAAAAUCGACCAAUUUAGUCCCUUAACUUUUGUUUUUUUUUCAAAUUCGUCCUUACAUUUUGAUGUGGGGGCUCCAUUUUGGCAUGAGACAUAAAAAAGUCCUAUUUGCCCUGGUUCCUUCUUCCUCUCCUCAAUUUUCGUCAUUAAGUAAAAUAAAUAAAAGUAUGAUCCAAACCAAGUACGAGCACAUAAAUAUUUAUACAUAUUUACUGAAAGAGCAUGAAUAUUGAAUGCAUAUAUAAAAUAUGUAUAUUGUACCAUGAGUACGUGAGCACAUGUUGAUUUUAGAGUAUGCGUACAUAUAUUGAGUUGUAUAUAUACCGAAAGAGUGAGUAAAUACUUGUUUGAGUACAUAAAUUUUUCAUAUUGAACUUGUAUGAGCACAUGCAUGAUUUUAAAGAGUAUUAGUACAUGCAUUUUUAAAAACUAUAUUAUGUGUUAGUUAAUAAAUAUAUUUUUGCGUGUAUAUAUCAAGGGAAUAUGAGCACAUACAUAUUUGGCCUACCUAAGCUAAGGGUAAAAAGAACUUUUUCGCAUUACUCUCAUGCCAAAUGCAGAAUAUCAUGCCAACAAAGUGCAGAUUAUCAGUACGAGGAUGAGUUUAACCCAAAAUAAAAGUUGAGGGAUCAAAUUGUCCCUUUUGGUAGUUGAGGGACAAAUUUGAUCUAAGGUCAAAGUUAAAGAUCCUUUCGUUGGACACUACGCUGAAAAUCAUAAGUCGCUGCACUUUGACAAAUAUUGUUACACUAGGUACAACGCACUUUGCCGAUAACGUCCAAAUUGGAGGCGUCAAACGUUUCGAGCACCAGGAGAAUUCGCAGUCAUUACUUGAACGAAACAACUGCACUCUAAGGACAUUGGUAACAAUCGCCACGUAACCAAACACACAAAACUGAACCAAUCCCCACAAUGUAAUAACGUGCAAAUAAUACAACAUGCUCUGAAAUGAAAUAAAAGCGAACACAUAAAAAUAGAUAGAAGUUACACGAUCGAGGAAAGAAUAAUAGCUCAAACAUACAGGUACUUUGCCCCCAACAAUUUUCGAAAACGUGAUCUCUGAAGUUUCACAAACAAGCAGAAUAAACAGAGCAACGAAGAGAACCAAUCCAAAACGAUGAGCCUCACUGAUACCACAAUGAUUUGCAUCGAAGACUCCCAACUGAGCCCAUAGCAGCGAUUGAUGAUUAAGAAGCCAGUUGGUUUUGGCUCCAAAAGGAGAACAUCCCCUUAUACCUUGCCGGGGAAAACUGGCGUGACAGCAAUGCAAAUGGCUUCUCCUUGCCGCAGCUGGUAGCGCAUUUGAUUGGUUCCAUAGUCUUGAGUACAGGAACUAUCUCUGGCAGUGCGGCACUUUCAGCUAGCACCAAUGGAGAUACCUUAGCAGAUUCUGGAACACAAGGCACAGUUCUGCUGCUGAUCCCACCACCACUGUGUGCCUUGCGAUAAUGAGAACUACUGGUAUCAGUUCUGUUGCUGCCACUACUACUGGCACUGCGGUGCGAAUGCGUCCUAUCCUUUUUGCUGCUGCUACUGCUGCUGCUACUAUGGCGAGAAUGCUUCUUGUCCUUUUUGCUGCCACUGCUACUGCGACUGCUGCUACUGCUGCUCUUGGAGGGCUUGUAUUUGUAGUGGCCCUUCCUUGAACUCCUCUGGUGCCCUCUCACUGUAUGUGAGGCAGAAGUCACAGGAGGAUCAUAUACAUCAGGAGCCCAUGAAACACUCAACUUUGUCAUGAUUCCCUGCUUUGCACGGGUUCCCUUCAUUGCAGAAACCAACCUUGGAAUGCCCUGCAUGGAAAGAUAGUACAUGUUAACAAAACAAAUUUGGUCUGUGAUUUUCAAUUUUUUUUUCAGCCAAGCAGAUACAAUAUGGUACUAUAACCACCCCAUAAGGUGCUAAACCAUGAUGGCUGGCAGCUGUAAUGAACUAAGAAAUUAUAAUUCUAAUAACAUCAAAUCCAUAUACCCUGCAAAUAUUAAGGUUCACAAAAAUGGAAUCAACACCGUCAAUUUGUUGGCAAGCAACCAUACCACCAACUACCAGGAAAAAGGAAUUAAACCUCUAUUGUUCUAUUAUCAAAGACACCAAAUCACAGGCAGAAUAAUACAGAACUAGCACCUAUUCCUAAAUUAAGUCCCUAAUAAUUGCGAAAACUACUGUAACUGAAAAUAGAGCUACAUAGCUACUGACAAUUUGGUAUCAGAACAAUAUGAAUGCGAAGCAAAUAUCUGACCAGGAAUAUAUGCCAAAAAAAAGGAAUCCACACUUUAAACUAAAUUAUAAACUUACAUGAAUUGAAGACUUGUCAUCAACUGAUUUACUAAUUGAUGAUUCCGAUGCAUCACCACUUGGAGAGGCUGGUGAUAUGACCAAUUCAGAGUCAAUAUCCACUAAAUCAUCAGUUGAAUCAGAUUCCAUAGAAAGAACUGGGUCGUCGUCGUCAGCAUCGCUAGAAUCUUCAUCCAGAUCUGAUCCUUCAUCGUUGUCCUCAUUACCAUAGGCUUGCAUCACUUCAGUAAGAGCCAUUCCAAUUUCCUCAACCACCAAAUCAUCUUGCCCAUCUUUCCAGCAAGCAUAGCUGUGCUCACAACCUGGCUUUUCAGAGGUGUUGCAGCAGAGACAUGAGCUGCUGCUAACACAUUCAGCACUGAAGUCUGCCAAAGGCUCGCCCAUCCACAAGCUUAAUCCCAAAUUACAAAGAGAAGUUUCUGUUGAAAGGAGAAUGGGCACAAGUAAUAAGCAAAAUUUUCGCACAACUUUUGGCAGCAUAAGGGCAAUCCACAAUUACUGGAUACAAUUAUGAAGACUAAUGCAUAGAUAGAUGAUGUCACAACCAUAUGCAUGGGCAUAUUUUGCUUACUUUGAAGCUUCAAGCCUUUUGUUUUUUCAACCUAAGUGGAACAGCUAUGGGAACAUGAGAUCCAUAAAAAGUAUUUUGUUACUCAACACAUUUUUGGGUGUCACUAUUUUUGGAAACAACCACACAAACCACCUCGAACAAUGAAUAGCUAGAUGCUGAUCCAAGGGGCAAGGAUAGUGAUUGAAAAAUAAGUUGGCUUCAAGCACUUGAAAGCACGGCAAAAUUAUUUAUCUGUUUAUCAAAUUGCUAAGUGAAAUUGGUGUGAAUGUGACAAUUUGUGUGCUAAUUGGAUCACACAUACAAUCAUCUCCUACAAAAUGUCCUAAGCAUCAAACUUCAGAAUAUAUUUACACGAUCGUUAUCUAAAACUCUAAAUGAUUCCAUGGUGCUGAAUAGCAAGUUUCAGUUAAGGAAAGCAUGAAUGGUAAAAGUGAUUUUUCAAUACCUCUUUCCUUGUAAGAACGGCGAUCACCACGACCAACACCCCAAAUUGCUUUCCUUUCGAACCUGCAGAUCGGACCCAGACACCAAAUUCCGACAAACCGGGAAGCGCGCGAGAUCGAGCACGGAACCCGCACGACCAAACAAGCCUCGAAUCGAGCACAACCAGAUCGAGACCGAAACCUCAAACAACACGAGGUAAGGACUGAGGGGCGUGUGCGACGAGGGGAAGGCAAAGGUCAAAGACAAUUACUACUACUACUACUACUAAAAUUACUACUAAAACGAUGCUUGAGGCGGUGGGAGCAGGGGAAGGACGAGUUUCCGGAGGCGAUGGCUGCUGCCGCGCGGAGGCUGGCGAACGCGGCGAGCACCGCAGGCAUCGUAUCCUCGCCGGACGCCCGCAACGCUGUUUUAUGCCUCGAGAUCCAACUCGGCUGAUCCCGGCGACCAGAAACGGCGGCGAAGGGAGGGAGGCGACGGCGAGAUGAUCCCCCAAGGGACGAGGCUACCACGCUCCGCGCAUGGACAGGAUCACGGCUUCGCUUCGAUCGAUUUGGCUCGGAGGAGAGGACGGCGACGAAGGUGAAGGAUUUGGGAACCGGAUCAGGGCGAGGUGGCCGGGAGAUGCGCGAGGUGCGGAUUGGCUCUUGGUGAGGCGAGAGGCCGGCUCGGGGGUUGGUCUUAUAUUAUUUUUCACCCCCUGACAUGUGGGUCCGAAUCGAUGGGUCCCAGUACGCGGUGAGAAGGGUAAUGGGACUCCGAACCGGACAAACGGGGGGCAGCUUUAUAGGUGGGGUUUGGAUGACAGGUGGGGCCGUUCCGCGUGGGCCUCGGCCGGGGUAGAAACGUUCGGAUCAAAGGGGCGCGCGGCUGGCGGGAGGGUGCGGCACGGAAGGCGCGCCACGUCGGCCGGGCGGUUCAAGACUCCAGAAUUCAGAUGGGGGAGAGGUGGUGGUGUCCAUUUUGGAUUCUGGUCCAAUCAAAACUGAAAACUGGUGCUUUCUUGCAGCCUGCAAUGCAAACAGCAGCGACACCGUUGUUCUUUUCUACAGAAUCUUUUCCCGUUCGAACCCGCAUAAAUCUUCAGAAUUUGAAUCCAAAGAAAAAAUUUAAAAGUUUUGUUCUCGCGGGAAACCGAAGAGGAACUCACCCUUCACUUCACCGUGAAGCUCGCGCGAAAACAGGAAAAUUUACAAGAACAGAUGCUGAGAGAGGCACGCUUCCUUUUCUUCUACGUAAGCACAAUAUUUGGAGAUCUGUUUUUGCCGGUUUUGUCACUAUGCUUAACACCAGACUUUGAUGCAUGAAAGGUACGUGAGGAAACGAACAAAUAAUUCGUUCACUUUUCUAAUAUAAGCCCAGGAGCAUAUAAAGCGAGAGAUACAUACAGAUACGUUUCUUUUCAAUUUCAAGUAAUGGAAAAUAAAUAAGUGUCUACAUACGGAUGGAAUACAAGAUGCAUAGUUGCUUACAAGUUACACUUUUCAAAGUCAAAUCUGGCUGCUCCACAGCCCACAGCUUCGCGAAGGGAUAACCGGAUAAGCAUCAACGCCAGAUUAUUCUGUGAUAGAAUAGUCGGCAACUUUCUACAACAGAAUCAUCCAGCCGGUGGACGGUGUGCAACAUAGGCGAACGAGAUUCUUUCAGCAACAUGGAAACACCAUAGAUGCUUCCUAGCACAGCAUCCUCGUGCUUGGCAAAGUAGCAAGGAAGAAUGCCACGGCCACAUUUUUGCAUCAUGCACAAUUGCACAUGGACAGCAAACCGAACCGAACGCAUGAAACCUUGAUGUGCUGUCCAAUCUGCGAUAAAUCAGCACCUUCCUCCUAGAUGGAUGCAUUCGCUUGGUGCCGUCACUGCCGCGCAGGUGUUGCUAUCUGUGCAAAACAGAAACUGCCGUGUAAGCAAACAUAUAGCAUUACCAGUUAUCCAUUCUGACGAUGGCAAUAUCUGGCGAUGUAAGCAAUCAACUAAUAUGUUCACAUGCAUGUACAUAAAAGUAUCAAAAUACAAGUCUGCAUCAGGAACAAGGUUAAGCUUACUGUGAAAGCAAAACGUGUCAAGUCUAUUCUAUCAAUCUUCUCCUAGGAUUAGAACAAUUAAGAACUAUUGGUACCUUGAGAUAGUAUAGGACCUGAAGGCAAACAGUAAAGUUUACUUCAGCUUCUUCCUUUUUGCACGUGGUUCCUUGAUAAUUCCGCUUGUAUGACUAUCCUGCAGAGGAUGAUAUUUUGCUCGUUUCAAUGCUUCCUCAUACUCAUUCAGCUUGUGCUUCUCCUUGCUCUGACAGUGGUAGAAAAAGCACAACUAUGGUAAGUCUAGCCUUUUUCAUCUUGCUCAUAUGAAGUGAAACAAGUGAUCACAUACAUAACUGUUCUUAUAAGUUGCUAUUUGUUGCUUACAAACUUUCAGCUCCAUGUUUAGAUCACUAAGACGAGAAUCAACAGGAACCGUGCAUUGCUGAACCAACUGCUUCUGGCGACCAUGAACAACUUGUGGUUGCCAUACAUUUAAUGCCACAGAAGCUCUCCUGUAAAUAUUUCAGACAGCAGGAUUGUGCAAUCAGAAUACACUCCACGAAGUAAUGGAAACCAGAAAUACAUAUCCCAGCACUCCAAGCCAUGGAUGCUUGAACAUAGGCCAAACGAUGCACUGAUGAAGGAACAUCAACUGUGACAUGGAAAAACUAUAUAUCUACCAAGCAAUGCAUUGUUCUUUGUUCAUGAUCCUAAAUACAUGUUAAUAUGAAUGUUUGUCCAUUAUAAGGCAGGACUGUAGUGUUAAGCAAUGAAGCAAGUAAGCAAUGAACUACACAGGAUCCAUCUCAUGGCCAGAUGGUAGAGAUGCCAUUGCAUGGUAUCCUCUCAAAUAGUGAUUGGCUAAGGCGGCCCCCUCCCCUCUCCAGAGGAUAGAUGAAAAAGAAAAAAGAAACAAGAAAAGAGCUCAAUACACUCAAGAGGUGGUGGAGAGGAUUGAAUUGCAACAUCACUUUCAAAUUCAAUUUUGUUGGGUUAAAGAAUAUUUAAUCUUGAUGUUUCUACAUACUAAUUUAAGACACGGUUUGCUUUUUCUAGUCACUGUGCCAUUUGGACCACAUUGCUUCAUGUGCGCCAACAACAAUCUGAAUGCUGGGAGAUAAGCUAUGAAUUUUAUUGUGCAUCAUUUGAAUGCUUCCCCUGAUAACUGGAUAAAUAGUGUUGCCCUAUCCCAGCAAUAAUAUUUUGUUUGGUGGAUAGGACAAUUGUCCAUGGAUCAAACAUAUCAGAUAACCAAAUUCUACUGUUCCAGUUCAAAAGAUAUCACAUGCAGCUAUUUUUUGUUGAAGAUGUGAGACGAGAACAAUCAGCCCAGAAACAUAUCAUACAGUUAUAACAAAAUCCAGCUACUGAACACUGGUGCAAGACAUGGUACAUGGAGGACACCAGGAGGCUAUCAAUUUGUAAGGAUAGAACAAAUAACAGCAAUAAUGACAUGAUCUAACCAGCCAUCUAUGUGGUCUGAAAAAAUCUUGACCUGGCUCUUGUGCAAACAAGCUGCUCAAUGCAUCAUGAAAUCAAACAUUUAUCAAUAUUUUCUGCUCGUGCACUGCCAACUAGAUUACCAAUCUGCUGAAAUGGCUGGUUAGCUGUGAGCAAAUUAGCACCUCAUACUCUAUUGAUUCGAUGCUCUCUACCUCCUCUGAUUGCUCUAGGUUCGAAAAUUGAUGCAUGUUUUCUGAUCACACAAUUGUAGUGGUGAGAAGUGAUACAGCACGGGAAAAAAACUGUGGUUCAUUUUUGGAGAAUUCAGUGAUAUUUUAUUGCACAUAAGAAAUUGUUUGGAAGUUGGAACCUAACGAACCGACCUGACCCUCUCGAGGUUGUCCAGCUCCUGCGCAGCAGCUUUCAUCUUCUCCCCCUCUGCCCGCAUCGACUCCUCCAGCUCUGCCAGCCGCCUCCUGCACGCAAGCACCCGCGCCUCCGCCUCGAACACCGCCCGCCGCCUCGCCUCCGCGAUCCGCACCUUGUGCCUCUCGAACCUGCAAGCAGAGAACAUCAGUCAAGCACAUCCGCCUGCACGAGAUGAACAAUAACGGUCGACGGAAAACGAGGCGGGGGGAAUUACUUGGUUUUGUAGAGGGAUUUCGGGUGAAGCUGCUGCUGCUGCUGGGAGGUGGAGGACGAGGACGAGGACGAGGGUUGGGAUUGGGAGGGGAAGUCGCGGGAGAAGAGCGCCGACCAGAGGGCGGGGUGGAGGGAGAGGCGUCCGAGGCGGCGGGAGGCUAUGGCGAGGCAGCAGAGGUCGCGAAACCCCAGCGCGGACGACGCAGCGCCCAGCUCCAGGACGCGCGCCCACAGCUCGUCGGGAAGAUCCGACGCCGACAUGUCCCCCUUUGAGCUGGAUCAGGAGCGUACGAACGCAAAUACUACGACGGGCAAGGCGGCGAGGCGCGCGCGGCGGGACAGAGGGAGAGCUACGCCGUUGCGCAGACGCCGCCGCCGCCACUCUUCUCCUUUGAACGUGAGUUCAGGAUUCGCCGACGGACUAGAGGAAAUCAGGAAAGCACCGCACGUAGGAGGUAGAAGCCGAAUUGGUCCCUGCCACUGGGCCCUACGAACGCUUGCGACCUUCAGACCUUUGGUUCAGACGGUUUGUAGCCUGAUCCUGAUGACCUGAUCCUGAAGCCUGAAGGGAGAUGCUAAAAUUCUGUUUCCUUUUCUUCAAAAAAAAGUAUGUUUCCGUUUAGCCUGAGCUAUGCAGAUAAUCCCCAUGUACAGAAACAAAAAAUGGCAACUGUAGGUCCUCUCAAUCUUGGGGCUUCGCAAGAACUAAUUGCAAACCAGAGGCCCAAUGAGGGAUGAAAUAAUCAAAAUUCAAAAGGAAAAAAUAAUGUGCAGACAGUUGUUUACUAGGAUCAGCUCAAAUGCGUAUCAGAUUACAAGCCUGCGGUCUGUCCCUAGUUCUAAGCUACUGAAAGGAGGAUUCUAAGCUAACUAUAGCAUCCAUUUCUGCAUGUUUCACUGAGGUUGUAGAGGCAGGUUCUAAACUUGUGAGGCAGUCUGUCCUGAACCAAGCUGCAGGCUUGCAGCUCAAUUGAUCUGCGCAGCUACCAAGCUCUAUGAUCAGCGCACUCAGCGGGAGCGUUUCAAAACUUUGAACCCUGCUUGUUGCAAUCUACCAGGGUCACUCUUUCAUGUUUGUCAUGCCUUGGAAGCCUGUCAGGUUUAGAGAAGGAAGCACCAUGCGCUUGAAGUUGUAAAAGGCUGGCUAUUUCUUCCUCAUUCUUCGAACCGAGUCGUAUAUUGGACGGAAUAGGAUGCUGGAGAGGUAUCUUUCUCCAAAGCUGGGGAAAAUGGCCUGCAAAUGUAUGUGCUUAGUUAAUUACCUGAGUCAUGGCAAAAUGCCGUAAAUGAAAUCAACUUGAUGCCAUGCCCUCACCGCAAUCAGCUUUCCAGCAUUUUCAGGUCUUUUGGCAACAUUAAUAGCAGCAACAGCUGCUGCACCUGAAGAAAUACCAACCUGCAGAUAAUCCCCGUAAACGAAUCACAGAUCACAUAAAAGCCAAAUUGAAGUAGAUGCUAUAAUAAUAAUAAUAAUAAUAAUAAUAAUAAUAAUAAUAAUAAUAAUAAUAAUAAGCAGCAAAAGCGGUUCAUUUUACGGUGCACUACUCACCAGCAAGCCCUCUUUUAGUGCAAGUUCCCUAGCAGAAUCGACAGCUUGUGCGGUGCUAACCUGCAAAGUCAAGAAUCGUAAUGACUCAGCCAAAUGUAAAAUUGGCAACAUGAUCUGCUGACAUGAACAAAGUUCUAAAGUUAGCAUUGCAGACCUUCACAACCUCAUCAAUCAACUGGAUAUCUAAUAUACUUGGAAUGUAACCUGUUGUUUAUUGACAACAACCAGCAGUAUGUCAGUGACAAGGAGAAGGUAUUCGACAAGCUUGUUUUCCCAGUAUUUGAAUUGCUUAUAACGAAGGGACCAAAGGGUAAAGCAUUACCUGGGUUGUCACCAGAGAUCACACUAGUUUCAGCUGGUUCUACCCCAAUGACCUAAAAUGAUAGGCAGAAAGUUAUAUAAACAAAAUCAAACAGUUUUUUGGGGUAUGAAAUAUUAAGUCAUUCUCCUGGUAACAAAAAUUACAGAUAAAUUGGCAUCAGCCUUGUGGAAAUCAACUGUAUUUCCUGAAAUUAUGAUAGUUGGACAACUUUAAAUUUGAAACAACAGAACAUAAUGAUGGUGCCACUAUACUUUUGCUAAAACUAGUUCGAUGAUAAUGCCUAUGUUCCCAUAAAAACAACUAUUUUGCACAUAUUUUAAAGCAGUGCAAUUAAUAGUGGCAAAGAGCAAGUUGUUACAAGCAAGGCUCAUUUUUUGUUAGAAAUUAUGAUCUUUACUUUAAUAUGAAGGCUUCAAGCAUUUCAAAAAGGAAUAAAAUCUAAGCACAACAGCAUCGGACAAGAUACACAGAAUUAUUAGGCUGAAAUAAUACAAGACAAUCCAAUUGAUGAAAGAAAAAGUAGGGACCUUAAUAUCUUUGUUCAUCCUUUUCAAGUAACGCCCUGUGCCAGUAAUGGUACCACCUGUCCCUAUGCUUGCAACAAGUAUGUCAACAGUACCCAAUGUGUCUUCCCAUAUUUCUGGGCCAGUGGUUUGAAAGUGGAUCUGUAAUUACCCAAAUGGCUUCUCAAUAGAUCUUUAAAUAAAAAGCAAAUGAAUUUCACAUUUGCUGCAUUACAGAUAUUGUAUGAGUAAACGAUAAAAGAUUGAGUCUCAACCUCACUAUUUGCUUCAUUGUUGAACUGCUGAAACAUAUAUGCAUUUGGUGUCCUCAAUACUAUUUCCUCAGCUUUAUCAAAAGCUCCUUUCAGUCCUUUGGUAGCAUCAGUUAGCACAAUCUCCGCCCCAAAUGCACGCAGAAGAAUCCGUCUCUCGACAUCUAUUGAUGAAGGCAUAGUAGCUAUCAGCUUGUAUCCUCUAGCUGCAGCCACAGAAGCAAUGGCUAUGCCAGUAUUCCCAGUUGUUGGUUCUACCAAGAUGGUCUGCACAGGUAGAAACUAUCUGUGUAAAUUACAGUCUUGGUGACAAUAGCAUUGAAAAUAAUAUAAGAAUGGCAUAUGACCUUAUUUGGAGAAAUUAAUCCCUUCUCUUCAGCAUCAUUAAUCAUGCUUAAUCCAAUCCUGUAAACAUACGCAUGAGUUAGCACAAAAAUAAUUGCAUCGAGGGCAUCAACCAUCAAAUUAUGCUGCAAUCCCAAUUAUGUACCUAUCUUUGACACUUCGGCAAGGUCCCAUAUACUCUAGCUUUGCAGCGAUAUUAGCAACACAACCAUCAACAACACUAUUGAGAUACACCAUUGGUGUUUUUCCAAUUAGCUGGAUAACAUGACAGAAAUGUUUUAUCAGAAACGCAAAAGUGACAAGCGACCUAUUUGUACCAAGAAAUUCAGCAGCAUCUACUUCGACUCUGAAUCAUAUUAGGGGAAAACGACAGAAUUCGAACUCCAGAAAAGUAUGCAUAUUCAUAAGCUGAUUUAAUAGCAAUCACAGAUUCACAAGACACCUUCCCGGCUUCCCCUGGAACGCAAUACAGUUCCCAUUCCCAAAGCACUAUCCAAAGCAUGGGGAAAAGGUAGGCAAGGAAAGCGCCCAUGCACCUGGGUGACGUCCUGCGCAAUGUUCACCGCGUCUAUCUCAUCCGCGUACUCGUCCUGGAUUUCGACAGAAGCGGAGGUCGCGGCCUUCGGAGGCCAUGUCGCGGUGAGGUGGCGGCGGGCGGAAGCGGAACGUGAGGAAGGGAGGAAACUGGGGGCCCGCGGGAUGGAAACGGAGGUGGAGGCAGCAGAAAUGGGCGCGGAGGCGGCGACUCGGAGGAGCGAGCAGGCGGGCGGCGGGGCCAUCGCCAUGGCCGCGUCUCUCUCGUGCUGUGCUUUAGGGAGGAGAGAGAGGGGAGUUGUUUUCAGGAUAAGGGAAGCGGGUAUUGGUUUAUCGGGUACGGUCCUCCAGCCCGGUCCGGUCCGCUCAUGUUGGAAUUUGAAAUCGCCGUUUACAUUGGCAGCUCAAAUUGGCUUGUUAAACAAGAGCCUUCCCGACUCGUUCAGGCCUCGUUCGUUUCACCGAAAUUGGAUUCCAGCCAAGAUUACUUCCAGGUUCGGUUUGAGUGACUUCACCCGUGUCACUCAAUCCAGCCAGGAUUCAUUCUAGGGGUGAGAAGGUAUGGUCUCAAUCCAGACCAUCUAUGAAGUAUUCCAAUCCAGACCGGUUUUCGUUCCAGGUCAGACUAAAACGAACAAUACUUUCAAUGCAAGUCCGAUUUCAAACCGGACCACUUCAAACCACCCAGAAUGGACCUCAUUCCGGACCAAUCCACGAACGAGGCCUCAGUGAUUUCGUGCGCACAAACAAAUACUGUACUCUACUCCACCAGUUGAACACUGGCAUUCUUUCAGGCCACAUAUCAUCAUCAACGUGAAAUGCCGAAAUUCCGAAAGUACAAGGUCCCCUGCAUUGCUCAUUUGUGGUAUUGUGAUGUUUCUUAUAAUAUCCAAUGUUACACAUUUCGAAUCAAUAAUAGUAACAAUGGAGUCUCUGCCAACGUGGGCUGCUUAGGGAGAUAACCUUUGCCCUCAAAAAAUGGGGAUUGCACAAGUUGCUGGCACGAUACUAAUUGAUCAUGCAAUCCUGAAUUCCUGAUGUCAACUAACGAGCAGGGUCAGAAACCGUUCCCGUGACCAAAGAACCAUGCCGGUCACCGCUUAUUAUUGGAGAGCUCAGUGUUGCUUAGAACUGGAACUGCAUCUCCUUUGUGUAGUUGAGCUCGUCAAGGUGUGCAGCCAUGGCCUUGUUCAUCGGAGGAGGACCACAUCUCAGGACCUGAAAUAAGCAAAUGCAUGUCUCUGUAAGCCUCCAGGCUAGAUACAGGAAUUCAGGAGUUUACCGGAAGCCAUCAACCCAUAGUUAACCAAAAAAGAAAAAGGAAACAACUGACCAAGACUCAAGAUUUACCUGAAUGUCUUCAGCAGGCGCUGGGCAAUGAGACUGGAUCAUUUCCUUCGACACAAACCCGACACCACCAUUCCAGUUUUCGGGAGGCUGCAUAGGUAAAAAUAAAUGAGAAUACGUGACAAAUGUCUUUGAAAACUAUGCCCGAUAACUAGAAUGCAAAGCACAAUUCUCAGUGUAGCAACUCUGGAGGUCAUAAGAAUUUUUUUUAACACCUAUGAUUCAUUACUUUAAAAUAGGACAGCGGUCAUUUAAAUUUUAAACUAACUUAAGUGAUCAUCUUUAUGUAUGUAUAUUUGUUGCAUGCAAUUGUCUAAGCAUGCUCUGCUGUUUAAUGGCUCUGUUGUUUGUCAUAACACGAAUUAUGUAGUCAGUUCUAAUAAUUCACAAUUAUAAAUGGGGUCCCACUUUUUCUCAAUAAAGCUUCUGAUGUGUUCCUACGCAAAAAAAAUCCAGACUGCAGAUAGAGUAAUAUCUUUGAAAUUUUAAAGGUAUUUGAUGUAGACCUGAUUCAAGACAUAGUAGAUCUUAAAGCGGUCAGGAUAGGUCUUGGCCAUGUUAUCCAGCUCUUCCUGCAUAAAUUGAACAAAAAUAUUAAAAUCAGCAUGGCAUCAUAUCAUAAGAACAUGUGCAACCAAUCUGACAGAUACCAAAGUGAAUUAUAUACAAUGAAGGACUUUUUUCAAGCAUAUAUUGCUGCCACAGAUUAGUCCCAAACUAUCAUAUAUAUCAGCUAUAGAAUCUUCAACAUGAUGUCUUAGAAAAUUCUCAGAAAGCUAUGUGUUAACUCCUGAGCUUCAUCUUGAAUACCUGGGUGCAACUAAUUGCUACUUUGUGCAGAACAAUUUGCAAAAGUUCAAAAGUAGUAACCUAAAGUGAGAAACAAUUGUGCUGAAAUUACGUAAAAGAGCACUUAUGCUGAAAAUAUCCUAAAGACCUAAGUAAAGCAGGUAAGAGAAAAGACAUAAUUGAACAACACCGGUUCUCAUAAGCAACUAAAUGAUAAUAAGUAUUUAUAGAAUAGUAAACAUUCCCAUCACAGCCAACUAAAUCAUGAGUAGUACAGAAAAUACAGUUUGAUGACAUACACUAAGCGGUCAUUAAUCAACAAGACAAGUAUCAUAUCUUUAUCAUUUUUUUGAACUAGACUGUAUCAAAACCAACACAAAGAAAAUAACGCCGAUUCUACCUUCAGAAGAAUAUCUUCAUAUGUGACAUUAGCAUAGAUUAAGUGAACCUUUGUGCUGUCGUUAGGGUUCUCAAGAAUUGCUCUUGCAACCUGUGAGAACAGAAAAGGAACCAUUAGUCACUAGAAAAGAAAUUUGUUUUGUGGCGUUACCAAUCGCAAUAUAGAACUCUGGGUUAAGUUUUACUUGGAACAUUGGAGUAAUGCCUGAUCCACCAGCCAGCAUCCCAAAUGCUCUAACUUGGCCAACUUGGUACUUGAAACGACCCUAUAUCAGAAGUCAUGUUAACCUCCGAAUCAAAGGUAAAUGUGCAUGGAACAGAGAUUUGAGGUGUUCCUCAUAAAUUUGGGGGAAAACAUUUAAAAUUCCCUUGAUAACUCGAAGAAACUAAUGUUAUAUUUUUUAUCAUAAAAGAAACAUAAGCUGGAGAAACCAGAAGCUCAGAAGUCAGCACAUGAUGUCACCUUAGGUCCCUUCACGGACAAAUAAUCACCAACUUUCAUCUCACGGAAAUGGUGGGACAUUCUCCCUUGAGGAUACAUCUGCAUCAUGGAAAGGGUAGAAGCACUCAUGAGUCAACACAUGAGCACAAUAGCAAGAAAAGUAACCAUCCAGAGUUGUCAAAUAAUACGUCCCACAGUAGGAAGUAUCUGAAGAAGGAAAAUAGAAACGAAUAUGUACCUUUAUAACAAGCUCAAAAUAUCCUAAAUCAGAAUCCAAUGUAGUUGGGGUAUAAGGCUUGAUUACUUCUUCGCCAGUAGCAUCUUGUCCUCUGCAUUAACAAGGGAACAGAGAUAUGGUUAAAAAAUUAUGCACUGUAAAAAGGCAAAAUUCAGGAGAAAGAUAGAAUCAAAACCUGCAGCUAAUAUGUUGGCCAAUUGGGAGUCCCAAUACAGAAGUUGGAGUUGGAAGAGCGAAUUUGAACUUUGCGACAUUAUGACUUAUUUGCUUCUUUUCAACAAGUUUGAACUUCUUGAAGUUCUCAGGAUCCAAGCAGCCUGGAGGGAAAAUGGCAUAGCAACAAUCAAAUUGGGGUAUAACGAAUUAACCUUCAAUUACAGAAAGCACAAUUAAGCACAGAUAAAUUUUUGGGUGAUAAACAAAAGAUAAUGGAUGACAUGAAUAAAUUACCCAGUACUGCAAACAACUAAUACUUCCAGGUACCUGAGAAGCAUGACUACACAAUAAAAUUACAACAAUAUUGCAGACAAUCAGGCUCUCAGUCAUUAAAAUCACAUGAGAACUAAUAAUUUCAAUAAGGAAUGCAGACAUUUCCUACUACACAUGUCAAACAGACCAUUUGUUUAUAUCACGUGGUUAGAGUUGUUAGGCAACAGUUGUUGCUUAUAUCCUGCGGUUAGAGCUGUUAGUCAACAUUUCUUCUUCUUUUUUUUGCAGGUAGUCAACAUUCCUUUUUCAUCGGUAUCUUUCUCAUAAUAUCAUGCUAGGAUCAGAGCUACCAAGACGAGAUAAGAAAAUUCAUCUGAAAGCUCUACCUCAUCCAUUCAGAAAUGGAGCAGACAAACCAACACAACCAGAAAACUGCCUACCAACACAUGAAAACAGGUAAAGACUAACUGCAACUUAUGUGUACUCAAUGAAAACUAGUAAUUGUUUGACAGCCUGGUAUGCAAGCAUGAAUAAUAACUUCAAUGGUUCAUGUCGAUGGGAAUAAACUUAUACUAGUUGUUUUCCUUUUCUUUUGAUUUUGGUCCCAACGAGUUACAGCCUGGAGGCUGCAAGUAGCACCUCUACAGAUCGUGCCCAACUAAAAGCAAAUGAAUAAACACCCCUGCGCUCCAAUCACUUUCCAAAAUUGGUAACUGAAGUGCCACGCUAAUACCACCGGAGCAAAUGAAAAGCGCGGUGACCGUCAGCAACCAGAUCUAAACGCGAACCAGAGGCAUCUGGCGUACACGACGGGGAUAGCGGGGUGUAUGCAUGUCCGUACCCUUGGGCUUCCUGGAUCGGAGGAGGAGGAAGGCGCCGCCCGCGGCGACCGCGACGACGGCGACGGCGACGGCCACCAUGGUCUCGGUGCUCUGCCCCUGCAGGAAAUCCAUGGCUGCGCGCGGCCUCCCUCGCCUACCACGCCUCGGAAAUCAGUGGGCGGGUUUGGUUGGGCCGCGGGGGGUCGGUGGGAGGUGGCGGGGCGGAGGUAGGUGGGUCAGUGUGUGCGAGGAGGAAGACGGGAGGGAAUGCGGGUGGGAGUGGAUGGCUGGAGGCGGAGAUCGCGAGGUUUUUCGUGUUGCCCGUUUUGCCCUCGUCAUAAACUGCUAGUGCUACUAGGCGUUUGAACUGGACUCUGAAACGAAAUGACGGCACUGCAGAUACGAUAAGAAUUCAUAAGAUACGAUGCUGUACCCGUGCACCGUACUCAUCUUCAACUCAUGACAUGAACUCUCUAUUUGAUUUUAAUCGCCCCAAUUCUAGCCGAGUCAAAAUUCAAAAAUACGGAGUAAUCAUCAUCAGUUGAAAGUUCAAACCAUAGCCGCCAUUUCGCAGCUUGACCUCCUCCAACUACUUGCAUUCGCACGUGACCGGCAUGGGCAUGAUAGGGACUUGGGAGGUGGGAACGUGGGAUCCGGGGUCCCUGCGAUCUACCGUAGUAUACAGACUGUACAGUACAGUCUACUGACUACUGUAGCCAGUGCCCAGUAGAAGAGGUGCCCCGACGAGCCAUCUGCGCGCAGCGCACCAACCUUCUGGUCUGGUUCCCUGUCAAACCUGAAGCAUCGGGUCCCAGACUCCCAGGUCGUUGCAUGUGCCUUGACGACGCGGUAGGUAGCAGGUGACUCGAGUCUACCCCAAAUUUCCAACUUUAUCAUUAUGCAAAAAGAAGAUUCACCAUCACAUCAAACUUGCGUACAUGCAUGGAGUACUAAAUGUAGACGAAAUUAAAAACUAAUUGCACAGUUUUGUUAUACUUUACGAGAUGAAUCUUUUAAACCUAAUUAGUCAAUAUUUGAACAAUAAUUCAUAAAUACAAAUGAAAUACUACAGUUGUACAUUUAUGACAAAAUGUAAAUUUUGUCUUCAAAUUUGGGAAGCCCUCCGAUGUUUUCCCCCAUGUUUCCUGUGGUCGGAACGCAGACCGCUGGCGGCGGGUUCGUGGUAUUACUGGUAUCCAGCGUGCCACGACGCCACAGCGGCGGCAGCAACGCCUCGCGGGUUGGCAGCCGCGAGCGGCGAUCGAGUGACACCAGCAACAGCAAGGAGACCAGCAGUCGAGGCCGGCCAUCUGGCAUCUGCUAUAUAUAUAUAUCUUUCCUCGUCGACUGCCGGAUCGCCACUUCACCACCGGUAGAGUGGUGCAGGGAGUAGCUACUUUCCUACACAUGUUUAGUUCCCUCCAAACUUCCAACUUUGACACUAUGCAAAAAGAAGAUUCCUCGUCACAUCAAACUUGCGAUACAUGCAUGGAGUACUAAAUGUAGAUGAAAUCAAAAAAUAAUUGUAUAGUUUUGUUGUACUUUGUGAGACGAAUCUUUUGAGCCUAAUUAGUCAAUAUUUGGACAAUAAUUCACAAAUACAAACGAAACGCUACAGUUGCGCAUUUAUGGCAAAAUACCAAUUUUACCACUCCCAAAUUAGGACCUUGUUCUACUCCGUCGUGACACUGACAGCAGUGAAUGCUGUUUCGCUGAGAAGAGACAGCAGCACCCUCCGCGAGCUACUUCCUCCAACGUUUUGGACGUCGACACGAGGCAGCGCGGCCGCCGCUUGCUUCUGUGCUUCCCGAAUCUUCAUCGUGGCUGCCACUUCUAUCCAAGAUCGAUUUCACUCUUUUCGUUACUCAGUGUGGAGACUGAUUUUCGAUUUGAAACUUCACAGGGAGGUAGAUGCAUAUCGUGGCAAUAUAAUGUUUUUUUCCAGUUUUUUUUCAGAGGUGGCAAUGCAAUGUUAGAGCAAGUUUAAUAACGCAGCUAGCAAGCGAGCUGCAAAGUUUCUCUCAAACUUUUCCUAAUCUACUCGUACAAUGAUUAGCUCUUCACCAUUAAUACAUGGUCCACAAGUCAUUCUCAUAAAGUUUCUUGAUUCCUGUGCCCAAGUCAGCGUAAGCUUAUAUAGCCCGCUUCUCCUCUCUCACCUCUUCUCUCUCCUCCACGUCAGCAUUCAGCCAGCUUACAGCUCCUUAUUAUACUUGCUCUUAGGGGGCGAUGCCGCUACCCCCUCCCCACGCACACACCCAACUCAGCACUUCUAGGGUGUUUGAUUGAGGAAUGGAGUCAUGUUUCAUCUUCUCACUCCUCGAUUAUUUUAUUUGGUUUGUGGAAUGGAAUGAGUUGAUCCCUCACCACCUCACCCUCACAACCUAAUAAAUAGUAUAACUAUUAAGAAUGGGGUUAUCCUACUAAAUUUUAUAGGAUAUGGACAAUCUCAUCUAAGAUGAGGUGAUUUCUUAAACAAACACAUCAUUCGUUCCUGAUGUGCUCUGCGCUCCGGAAACGUGUUGUUUGGUAAAAAAAUAUGCAUGAGUAACAAACAAAGGAAAUAUGUUGUGGCAUUUAUAUAAUUCACGAUGGCAGUGCCUAUGACAUACAUGGGCGUGUGCAACAUCAGUGUUUACUAAAAGAAUAAUGAAGUAUUAUUCUGCACAUAUACAUGUACUUGCGUGAGCAGCUUCCUAGCAACUAGCUUUGCGUGAGAAGGUUUAACGGUCUUGACAUGCAGGAAAGGAAAUACCUAAACAUGGAAGGUUAUACUAACGUGAAGAGCUUAAACACCUGGUCAUGCAGGUGAGUCGGCUAGCUUUCUAGCAUUAACGUGAUGAGCUCUCGCUUCCUGAAAAUAGAGCUCGGACGACAUAAUGUUGGAACAGAGUCUUAAAUUGAGUUGCAUAUUCGUGUAAGCUAAAGAUGGAAGCUAACACUGUAUACAUGGAAAUAGAACUGAAUUAACUAAUCAGGUUCGGUACGUUUUCAUGGAACCGACGUGAAGGUUCUCUUCUUUCUAUAAUCUAAUCAUCCCUUCUGGCCUAUAUAAAGUGCCGAGCCAUUCAGCUUAGAGGGAGGAGGCAGGCCAGAAUACGUACGCAAAAGCUCAUCCAUGGCUGCUCGCACGCUAGGCAAGCAUGCACGCCAGCUCGCCUGCGCGGCUACGGUCUCAUAUUGCUGAGACGCACAACGAACAGAAGUCAUCGUCCCUGCGUCGCACACACGCCGGCAAAGGCUCACGUCGCGUUGCUACACCCGUACGCGACAGCGCCGAUGCAUUCAAGGGCUUGGAUGACUCCGUCAACCUCGGCUUGCAAACCAGCUUUGCCAAGCCAUCAAACCUCGACGACGUUGGUGCAUACCACGGCGGCCAUGCUUCAUGGUGAGCGAAAAGAUUGAAACUCCGUGACCGUCUUCCCCGUUAAUCUGAAACAAUCAUUUAUUUGCCCCCGCACGCGGGAUCGAGCAAGCCAUUCUAUUGUUCAGCCAGCAAGCAUCGCCCAAGUCUAGUACCGGUGAGGCUAGACUAAAAUUCUGAUCACGUGUUAAUGAAGCAAGAUCAUUACUCCCCGACAUGUCCCAAUCGACAAGAUUGAACCAAUCAGUUGCCGCGCACCGACGAGGCGAAGGCAACGUACCAAUUCGUAUUUGGUGAAAGCGGGUGUACAUGACUGGGCACCGACGAGACACGAAAGUCAUCCCCUUCUCCAACGUAUUUUGUUCACUACUGAUGUGAUAAUAGUGAUGUAAUGAUCAGGCUUUGCUGACACAAAAGUCGCAUGUAUUACAUGUUACAAAAUUCAAUGACGAACAGCUUAAUCGGAGGUGUUCUGCAAGCUCCUCUUGCAGAUGUAAUUAACCAGACAUGCCUAAUAGGUCUUGAAAAUUGACGAAUUACGUAAUCUCAUAAUUCAGACCUCUCUUUAAGCAUCGAUGCAUAAGGUAAGAGAAGACAAAACUAUCGAGUCAUGUAUUUUGUAAUUUUGUAAAAGAUAAGAUUAAUGGAAUACGUGUUCUCGCAAACGUGUAGAUGUGUCCGUGUGCUACUUUUAUUUUUAUUUAUCUUCGUUUUGUUUUCACGAGCACGUGCGCCCUCCUAAUUAACCUUCUCGACUCCUUAAUUUUACUGAUUUGAAGGCUGCCACUUACCGACUGCACGACCGUUGGUUAAAAAAAAAAGAGCCGGAGGCAGGAGUGAACAUAUGCCUCCUCUCGAAGAAUUAUGUACGGCAACGGUAUAUAUGGCGAUGAGUGGAUUCCGCUUAGGCCCGUGGGCCGAAAAUCGAGACGGACCGGGCCCGUGUUUGAGAUUUCCUUGGGCCUGCCCCUGCUGCUGCUUUCGCAGCUUUCCGUUGGAACGUGCCGGACGUUAGCUCCGUUUUCCAUGGACGAAAGCGACUCCUCGCUACUCUGCUAUCACCUGUCAACCAAGAACAUAACAGUUUGUUUCCACACUUCAAUUUUAAGCUUUGUUUAUGCCGGCGGCGAUCAGUUCAAUCAAUCGACCAAAGUGCCAAGGACCAGCGCGACCAAAUCCUCCAGAACAGAACAUAACAGGUGCCGGACGCAAUCAAUCCAUCGAUCCAUCGGCCAAUAAUGAUCACCAAACGCAUUAGAAAACCGCGGCGAGCUGGAAAGCAGGGCGCGCGGAAGGCCCGACAGGCAGGCUGCAGCCGGAAAGGCGACUCCGCCGCCCCGCGCGAACGGCGAGAAAUCAUUUCAUCUGCCUCUGCCCUCUGCCCCCAGCUCAGUCGCAGCCACCACCCCUCUGCUUCUUCAUCCUUGCCUUUCGCUGAGGAGCCGCCAGCCAAGAACAUCCACCGAUCCGAGCCCGCCAGCCUCCAUUGCCUCCCGGCGCAGCAGGUGAGGGCUCCGUUCCUCCUCGGCUUUGGGCGAUUCUGGGAUUCCAGUGGGAGGGUGCCAUCGAUUUCUCAGUUUGCGAGCGAGCUUCGUGGGCGUGUUGCGGUUUGAGGUGAGAUGGAAAUGCGCCCCUGCCGCCUGCAUUCCGUCCGUUGGUUUUGUCCGGCUUGUUAUUUGUCGAAUUCGGGUUUGUUUGCUCGGUCAUUUGUUGUCCUCUUGGAUGUCCCGUGCACACUGGUGAUGUCAGGGUAUCAAUGUAUGUUGUUGCUUUCUGCAAAUUGCUACUGUUGUUUGAAGAGGUCUCUGUUGGUUGAUCAUAGGAUGAAAAACAGUUCCAUGCUUCCUGCUUUGCCUUCUGUAUGGUUUACAAGUACUCCAUGUCUCUAACUGAAGUCUGAAUGGCUAGUGGAAGGUAUUCCUUGGUUUAGUGUUACCAUUUGUUUGUAUCUGUUGAAGGUUUCCCAAAGAUUAACCUUUUUGGUGAAAUGGCCCGUGCAUGGAACUUAUGAAACUUUAUUUUUUUUCCUGAACAAUUUCUGGGGGGAGGAUCCUCACCUACGCAACUUAUGAAACUUAUUGGUAUUUAUUUCAUCAAAUAUGCUUACCUUACUUUUUUUUAAUGAAGGAAUAGAUAAGAAAGAAGAGCAGGAAGAGUUCAACAGGUCACUAUGCGCCGGUGGUUUUGCUGCACUCAUUUCGACACACCAUAUCUUGAAAAUGAAAAUGGAUUUACAAGCAGUCCGGAUAGAACAAGUGGUACGUCUCUUGUUUCUGAUGUCUACCUGUGUUACUUUAUCAUCCUACAGCAGAUUAGGUACUUAGAAUGCAAAUUUCAGCCUGUAAUUGAAAGCACAAGACAUAAUUGUGGCAUUGCGCCCUAGUGCUUGAUAAAACUAGUUGAACAUAUCUGAACAUAACUUGUCAACACUUUGUUUUUAUUUUGAUGAAAAAAAACAAUCUUAUAUGAUAUAGUAUCUCACCUCCCAACACUCGACAGCUAUGGAUAUGUUGGAUACAUUUCAUAUGUAUGCAUUAUAUUGUUGACCUAUGCAACUGCACUUGAACCUUGCUGUUCACAACCUGAAGUCUAAAGUAAUACUAGUGCAGGCCUGGGUCAGCAAGCUAGCUGUAUACAAUAUUUUUUUCAGAAAUAUUAAUGAUUUUGAGGAUGCUACGUUUUUCUAGAGCUCAAUGGUAAGGGUGAGGCACAAAACCCACCUGAAAUUUUUAUUUGAAAAGGCGAACCGAGUAGAGUCCUCCUACUGCUAUGUUAGUUGCUUAUCAGGCCAGCGUUAGCAUCUGCGCGUGAUGUUCCAACGAUACAAAAUCCUUCUAUCAAGAAAGUAGAGCCAAGUAGAAUUGACUGCACAGCAGUAUUUACCACUUAGGUGACCUUGCCCUUCUCGCUGGACAACUUAAGUCUGUAAAAUAUAAGGCUUGUACCGACAAUUAUGAAUGUAACCAGUAACCACACCAUGUUCUCGAUGGCAAAUUCAGAUAAAUUUUAGCUUACGCAAGGUUUUUCAGGUAGCAUGUUUGGUACAGAUGAGGACACUAAUUAGUUAGAUUUUCAUGCUGAUUGAACUUUUAGGUGGUUCAGUUACCUUCUAACUAGUUGUUUUUUAACACUUUAUUCAUCGCUUCAUGCUAUUCAUUCAAGAAGGGGCUACGUGGUAUACCAAUGAUUGUUCUGCGAAUUAUUUUUUCUGCAUUCCAUGCUUCUGCUGCUGAGAUCAUAAGCAUAUUCAACAUACACCUUUCAGGAAACGGUCUUACUUCAAACAGUGAUCCUGCUAAACCACCUUCCAUUGAAGUACCUGCAUUGUUAUUUGAUGAACUGAAAGAAAAGACAGAUGAUUUUGGGUCAAAGACUUUGGUUGGUGAGGGGUCAUAUGGAAGAGUAUAUUAUGCUGUUCUGGAAAAUGGAAAGCAUGCAGCUGUGAAGAAGCUUGAUGCUUCAGCGGACCCCGAGCCCGACAAUGAAUUUCUAGAACAGGUAUUGUGCAGACCCCAAUACUGCAAAUACUUAAAUGUAUUAAACUCUUCCACUCUUAUUAACUGCAAUAAAGUUGGUUUGCAAAUUAUUUUUUUGCGAGACUGUUUUAAUUAUUAUGUAUGCUUGUUAUUGAACAAUUUAUUUAUUCCCCUUCUCCUAUCCUUUGGAUGUAGGUCUCCGUUGUUUCAAGAUUAAAACAUGAAAAUUUUGUGGACAUGCUUGGUUAUUGUAUUGAAGGAGAUCAACGUCUGUUGGCUUAUGAAUUCGCUACAAUGGGCUCCCUACAUGAUAUUUUGCAUGGUAUCCAUCUAGCCACUUCGCUAAUCAGUCUUUUAACAAAAUUCUCGCCAUGAACCCAGGGAUAAAAGAAUUCAUGUAUGACAGCGUGUAAGCCUUUUUUUUUCACUUCUGGCUUUUCUUUCAAUAGGAAGAAAAGGUGUUGCAGGUGCGCAGCCUGGUCCUGCUCUCGACUGGAUGCAAAGAGUCAGAAUUGCUGUUGAUGCUGCAAAAGGUCUUGAGUACCUUCAUGAGAAGGUCCAACCUUCCAUAGUCCAUCGAGACAUACGGUCUAGCAAUGUUCUUUUAUUUGAGGACUACAAGGCUAAAAUUGCAGACUUCAAUCUUUCAAGCCAAUCUCCAGAUAUGGCUGCUCGCCUACAUUCUACCCGUGUCCUUGGAACUUUUGGAUAUCAUGCUCCAGAGUAAUUAUCUGACUCAGAUAUCAGUUGCACUUUGUUCAAAAUUUUUGCAUAAUGUAUUGAGGAUUAUGCUCCCAUAUAAUUUUCCAUUAGUAUUUAGCUAUAUCGUCAUAUAUAGUAAGAAGCAUCUAAUGAUCUUUUGACUGUGUUGCAACUAGAAAAUAGCAAAGCGAAAAUAGGCUUCUAAUAUAACUAAACAAGACUGUCAUGUAUGCAUAAAACUGCUACAAAUGAACAGAGAACUGAAGUUUUUAGUUUUUACAUACUUAGAUCUGAUAUGAACAGAACCAGAUGACCUUUAAUUAGAAAAAGUUAUCCGCAUGAUUUUAUAAUAUAAGAGGUGUCUUAUUCGAUGCAGGUAUGCUAUGACUGGCCAGCUGACUCAAAAAAGUGACGUUUAUAGUUUUGGAGUUGUCCUUUUAGAGCUUCUAACUGGAAGGAAACCUGUAGAUCAUACAAUGCCAAGAGGCCAGCAGAGUCUUGUUACUUGGGUAUGCAUUAACUUUUUCACACUGUAAUUUACAGUCUCCUGAAAAAUUCAUUGUUUUUGUUAUCAUCCCUGAAAAGUCAACAAGGUAUUUAGACUUCUAGAUUAUAAUCUAGAAAAAGUUUACAAGAUGAAUGAAUGUUCCAAACUUUAUGUUGUUUUGUUAGCACUCUAAUUUUAUCAUGGUGGUUGUUCCAUCGUCAACUCAGGCAACACCAAGGCUCGGUGAGGACAAGGUGAAACAAUGUAUUGAUCCAAGAUUAAAUGGAGAGUACCCUCCAAAGGGAGUUGCUAAGGUAUGGUCUUCCACUCUCCUUCCAUGUGUGCUCUUGCUAUACAACCUAAUAUCCGAAAUACAAAGCUAUCAGCAGUUGUUUUCUUUGCUGUCGAUGCAGCUUGCGGCAGUGGCAGCUCUCUGCGUUCAAUACGAAUCUGAGUUCAGACCAAGCAUGAGCAUUGUAGUCAAGGCAUUGUCACCCCUUCUUGCAAAUGCACCAUAUCAGGCUGCUGCUGCUACUGAUACACCUUCAGAUGCCUGACAACAUGUUCAAUUAAGCAUUCAUGUAAAGAAGUAGCAUUUGUUUCUCGGUAUGCCAUUUUUAUGAAUUAUUGUCUUUCAUACAUCUGAAUAAUGUGUGCUUACUGUAGAUGAAGGGAAGAAUAGGAGUAAUGCAAUGAUUUUUGAACACAUGUACUUCAUAAUGCUUGAAAACUGCUGCGGUUAAUUUAUGCAUUUGUAUGUUUCAUCCUUCUGUUUGUUGUGUUCUUCAGGCAGGGUCUAGUGUAUAAGUUUGGCUGGGCCUGUUGUAACCAGCUCGUGAGUUGUCACCUAGCCAUCUCAUCAUGUUUUAAGCUUAAACCUUUUUGUUAAUUACAGAGCCACUUCAGUCGAAUAAAAUCAAUAAUGUCUCUCCCUCCCUCCCUCCCUCUUGCGUGUGUACACUAAACCUCACGAAGUACUAAUAAAGUUAGGGAGUGUUCGGCUGGACUUAUAAGCCGGCUGAAAAGCUGAAACGGCUGAUUUGUUGUAAGAGAAAAAUAUUGUUCGGUGGCUGAUAAGCCGAAGCGAAUUAUUUAUCUCAUAAGUGAUCAGAAUGGGGCAACUUUAUAUUAACAGCAUCACUUCAUUGAAUUUCCAAGCGGCAAUUUCCCUAUAUACACAGAAAUUAAUUCAUUGGGUAAUAAUAAUAUCCUGAGAUCGUCGAAAGGUCAAUUAUCUCCUGCAAUGUCUCCGUGUAUCUUCUGAGAGACAGAGAGGCCGAUCAUGGUACCAUCGUCAUCAUACAUGUCAGGAUCAGCAAGAUCCAGACGGGAAUUUGAGAGUUCCCGUUUCCUGACAAUACAAAGGAGUCCCGCACUCCCGCCUGAGCUCCGGCGGCGGCGGGAGCUGCUGCUUGGACGACACACCUCCCGCCUGAGCUCCCGGCGCGGCGCCCGCGACGUCGUCGGCGCAACGAGGAGUCGGGUUGGCGCUCCGUCGUCGGCGUCAGGAGCUCGGACACCUCCCGCUUGAGCUCCACAUGGGCCCCCUCCAGCUCCCGUAUCAUCUUCAGGUUCAGGAGCUCCUCCACGUCCAUCGCCGGCGAGCACGACCAGUCGGUACUACUCUGUGUAAGUGUAACUGCGUUCGCCGGACUCUGUCUGUGUGACCGAAGAGAGAGAUGGCAUGCAUGAGCACGAGCUACAGAUUUCUAGACAUUACAUGAAGCUGUAACUAUUUGGUACUCAAUUGAAUCAUUAUAAUUUGGACAAUUCCUUGCAAAGAAUUUUUUUAAAAAAUACUUUCGAAUUAUCUGUGCCGAGCAUAAGCACAUGUCCACUCUACCAGAAUCUUUCACUUCGUGUAGAAGUCGUAUGUACGAGAGCAAAGGGCCCGAAUCAUCACAUGGGAGGCACAAGGACAGCAUAUGACAAUCAACCCACUGGUUACAGAUUAAGCAAAUGCCAGAGCACCUCUUAUCUUACACUGCAAUUUCUCUACAGAAGCCUUUGUGGCUGGCAAUUCGACGCCUUUAUGUGUUACAGAUUUGCCACCAAUAUACAGUGCCACUCCACUCCAAGUCUAAACCACAUUGUGUGGAAGGCGCAACGGGUUAUGCUUCUAAGCUGUUAAAUACCAUGCAUGGGCUAGUACCACAAUAAAAUAGGACUAUGGCCUAAUCUGCAGUAGAAUCUCCUCCGGGCAAUCGCUCGUGCAGUAGGUAGAUGAGCCGUGAUUUCGUCAUCUGAGGUUCCCUCUCCAGGGCACAGAUCACAUCUUUCACAGUUAUCGUUCGUUGAGGUCCUGCAAAUGGUGUCCUGCCAGGUCUUUUCAUGCCUGAAACGAACAUUAUCGUGCAUAUCAUGAGUUAAAACAUUCUGCAAUGAUGCGUCAUGGAUCUACAAAAAAAAGGAUGAUGCGAGGUCAUGCCAAUGAUAUUACUGCUUUACCAGUUCCGAACGCUGAAGAAUGGCUCCUCUUUGCACCUUCCUGGUUUUCGCCAAGACCUUUUCCGAAUUUGGAUAAUGGCCUGGGACCUGGUCCUCUACCUGGCUGCGAAGCAGCAGCCACAUCAAGGCCUUCUCGCUUCUGCCUGGCUUGUUCAGCCAUCAGCUGCCACUUUGAGAGCAUAUCACUUCCUCCAACUGCUUGCCGAGCAGCAACGUUCGCCGCAUUCGUUCUCAUCUUAUCGUCUUCUUCCUUGUUGGGCUGUGAGGGGUUAAUGAUGUCAAGGAAAUGAAGAACAGUCACAGCUGAGAAAUCACAGCAGUAAUUCAGUAAAGUUACCUUCGCAUUCUUUGGGCGACUUUCCUCUUUUUCUUUUUCCAAUUCUGCAGUGCCAUUGCCAUCAGCCUACAAGAAAGGAUUUAGUUAACCAAAUUGAUCAUCUUAUACUUGAGUUCACCAUGAUCACAUAAUGAAGAAAACUCCCAGAAACUUAACAAACACAUAGUGGAGACUCGAGAGUAGUGUGCCAUAACACACAAGCUUCAGGUAGUAACUCAGGGCAGAUUUAUAUUCAAACAAGCUUUGUCAAGUAUAGGCAAGAAAAAGAUACCGAAACUGAAACCAAAUUUAGAAAAUGCAGAAUCACUAAACCUUUGCAUAGGAAAACCUUGAAAUACAAAUGAAAUUGAUGAAUGCGUGUAAAAUUCCAAGUUUCCAACAGUGUAUAGUUACGCGUUUAAGACUUGUAAACUAAUCAACUACUAUGAUAUUUAAGUUCUAAGCAAAUUUACACUACUCAAAAUCAAAUGGGAUUUAUGAAAUACCUCAUUCUGCUUCUUGUUCUUGUCAGCUUCUUCUGCUUGUUUUUUAUCCCACUCUUCCUUAGCUUUCUGGUUCAUUUGCAAAAUUUGACGGCCAACAUCUGAAGUAAUAACUAGUCGAUGCCCAGUCUUUUCAGUGUCGAUUCUCUAACAGAAAUAAGAACUGUUAGUAUCACAAUGUAGCAAACUAUGCCAUUAUCGGGUGCUUUGGAACAAAAAACAAAACAAACCUGUUUUGAGACUCGUAUGAGAGUACUUAUGAAUCUUCGCAGUCGCUCCUCCACACACUACGGAAGAGUCGAAAUUAUAUAGGUAUUGCAAAAUUCUUCAUGAAAUUCGUAACUGUAACUCACCAUUGAUAAACAAUGUUCAACGUCAAGAUUAACAUUCUUCAGAUUGCAUUUCCGAGCUGUCAAAAAACAUGUUAUCUGUUAAUGUUGCCAUUAAAAUUUAUAUAGGAUGGUUUCAGAGUUUUGACAAGAAGUUCAAAGAAAUUAACCGAUUUCUGUAAGUUUCUUCAGGAGUGGGCCCUUCCGUAGGAAAAGUUUUUCUUCUUCUUCCUGUGCAAUUCUUCGUGCUUCUUGUGAGGCAAGGCUCUCUUCCUUUGGGGCAGAGAGUAGCUGUUCUUCCUCCUCCUGUCAAGAAAGAAGGAAUCAGCAAAAUGCAAACAGCAGAUUAAAAGGGUGCACAAAUUUGACGCAAACAGCACACAAGAUGUACUGAGCUGAAAGCUCAGAGAAUGCAGGAGAUGGUGUGUGGGUUGUAACAUUUUGAAGAUAGACAAGACAUAAGAUGUCUCGUAUGCAAGAAUUUUAAAAGAUUAUUUUGGAACAUUCUUGUGGUCCAACUGACAUAGCAUAAGCAAUCCCAAGUUGAGUACACUGAUGCUAUAAAAUGUAAAAAUACACUCAUGGGAAAUUUAAUACCUAAUUCAUCCCUAUGGUAAAGACUAAAGAUGAUGUAGUGCUUGUCCUUUUGGUACUCUACAGCAUGAAAGAAACUAAUAUAUAAUUUAGCAAGUAAAUCUAACAUCAUUUGCUACAUCAUGGUUAUGUAGCAGAUGUGAAGAGUGCAACCACAAAUUUUUACAAAUAGAGGUCAAUGUAUACCAGGAAGAAUGUUAUUUCUGCAUGGAAACGUAUCCUAAUAUUAACAUUAACCAGAGAUGGGCGUACCCUAAUAUUAACACCACUAACAGCAGUGACAUCAUUAAGUUGAUCAAUGCUUUGUUCCUGGAAGGCUCCGGAUGUCUUCUGCUUUUUACUGCUGACAAAAGAGAAUUAUGCUUAGACCUAUCCACAAAAUGUAAAUAGUGCAGUAUAGUACAUUUAGACUUCAGUUAAUAUUUUUUAUAGAAAAAAAACCUUGAAGGCUGCGUAGAGCCUGCUGCUUCCGAUGAUUUCUUCUGCCCACCCGAUUUCUUGUUACUCUUUGCACCUCCACUAGCAUUCGGUGUAGAUGAGUUAGGGGGUGCCUGACAAGACAGAAAGAUGAUCAAUAAACAAAAUGUGUGCAAACAGGCAUCAAACAAUUGCAUAGUUGUCAUGAAGUAUGAAAGACAUGCAAAAAUGUGUAGUUCUACAUAAAAAAGGAAACAAAGGUGGUCACACAGUGGGGAAAUAGUCCUACUAGCAUUUCAUGUCCGACACUCUUUCUAACUUAUUAAAUGUUCAAAAAUAAAAAUGCAUUUGGACUUACUCCAUCUGGAUGAAGGCUGUAAUGAGGCAAAUGGAACUCAUAGCAGGGAGUUUGGCUGACAACAGAACUAAAUACUGGAAUAUUAUAUAUAUGAUAUGACUACAUAUCGAAUAAUUCUGCAGGGGUUCAUUUGCUAUUACUAAGCCUCUCAUUUGUAGCUACUGCAAAAGUAAAUGUUGGCAAAUGACCAAAUAAUGGUGGUCUGGGGUUGGUAUUUGUCUGAAUUAAGAAUAGUAACAAAGCUUGACUCCAGGACACUACAAUGGGUCCUAUAUCCUAAAUUUAAAUAUUUCAAAACUUGAUUAUGCCAAAUAUGCUAAUAAAUCAAAGUGCUGGGUAUCCUAGGUGAGACAAUGCACAAACUUAUAUUCGAAUAAUAACCAGUGAUCUAGCAAACAUACAUUUUGAGUCACUAUUUCUGCAUAUUGUGUCACUAAAUGGAAAUUCUAGUGAGAGAAAAAUAUGGAGUAUAUAAUACAAAUUGCAUAAAUGAUAAUUACUUGAUGUCUCACAUUAUUCAAAGUUCAUAUUUAAAGUAACUGAACCAUAUUGGCAUCUAGAUGUAAUUAGCUCGUGCCAUGUCAAAAAGAUGUUAAAUGAUGAUGAGGUGAAUUCACCUGCUUUCCUUUAGCUGAAGAAUUUCCUGCGCCAACCGUGCGGGCUUUGCCAGCAGACUCAGAAUUUUGCUUCGCAUUAGCGUUUGGAGGGGGAGUAUUGGUUUUCAAUUCCUUGUUUUGAUGCAUUUGCCAUGCAACUGCAUUGUGCUGCAUCAUUGGAUGAGUAGGAGGAGGGGCAACUUUUGCAGGAGGCAUUCCAUGAGCAUGCAUGGAUGGCUGUGUUUCCGGAACUGGAUUUGGUGGUCUAAGAGAACCAGUGAUUGACUGAGGGUAACCCUGGGCACCGGGAUUACUUGCUCCAUAUAUUUGCUGUGAGGCCUGCUGGAAUUGUGUGGGUUGAUGCUGUUUGUUCUUUGUUUGCAAUGAAAUUGCUGAGUUCAUUCUAGGUGGUUGAUUUGGUAUAGCAUUUGUUCCCUUUGUGUCAGGAUUUUGGUUGGGGUUAUCAUGAGGAAGAUACUGUACGCUAGUUUGCGGAUGAGUUCCUGAUGGUGGUGCGAAAGCCUGAGGUGAAGACGACACCUGGUUUUUCUGACCCUGGUUGGAUGGUCCAGGUGGACGGACUUUCUGAUCAUGUAACUGUGCUGAACCACUGGAAGGCAUCUGCUGUGUCGACGCUUGAGAGAAUAAAGAAUGCUGACUUGGAUUUGCCUGGUUAUUUCUUUGUGCCUGGGCUUGCAUCUGUUGAAAAUGUUCAAAUAAAACAAAUAACACAUGAAAUAUUCAUCAUAGAAUUGAAUCAAACAUUCUGAUUUAUAGCAGCUACCAACUUGAUGAGUAGUCAUUUGUCAAGGAAACAAAAGGAAGUAAUUAAGUCAAUGCAAUUCAUUCACCUGUAGAAAAACUUUAUGGGCUGCCUGCUUGAGCAUUUGAUCCCCAACAAUAUUCCUGAUGACUCUUAAGAAAUCAUCUUUGUGGACUUCAUUACGCUACAAACAUAGAACAAUACAGCUGUGUUAGUUCAUUUAGCAGUACUGGUGCAAACACUUGGUGCUAAGUGUGUUCUUUGAGCCUUUGUCACUGUUGUUUUAUCUGCUACCUCCACAUCAGAACAGACUAGAGGAAAGGAGGUGAGGGAUAAGGAUACCCACGGGUCCCCACCGACCAGGAUACUGGUCGGCCCUAACAAGUGGGCCCGCCCGACCAUGCCGUGCGGGCCAAGGCAUAAAGAUACGUGGAGCACAAGUCCGAAGGCCGGGCGAACGGAUUCUGCCCGGAUAUCACAGGAUACUUGUCGUAAACCGACUCAGAUUGCUUUCUAUGUAACAACCGACUAGGAUUAGAUCCUAUCCGAUUGUAACCCUAGGUCGUCAGCCUAUAUAAGACGGCCAAGGACGCCUCCCGAGGGCAUUUCAACUCUCCGCAUACCAUACCGGCAAUACAAUCCACCAGAACACAGGACGUAGGGUAUUACCCUACGGAGGCCUGAACAUGUCUAAACCUAGCGCCCCUAUGUUACCAUUCGAGUUCUUGGUCUUGCGAUCUCCCCCGCCUACAAAUCUACCACCUGGGCACCCCCUAGGUGGACUGCCGGUCACUAAAUCCGACAGGAGGAAAAGGCAUUUGCUUUUCCUCAUCAUGUAUUCACCUUGUUUUGGUGACACAUGUAGCUAAGGAAAUGCAGUACUUGAAUUAAUGUGCUUGUCAGCACUUUCCUUUCGUAAUGAUGAAGCAAUAGUAUCCAUUAUGUCUUUCUUUCUACACUAGCUUAGCAACGAGGGCAUACUUCAGAAAUAUGUGGAAUGAUGUCGGUAAUAUGAAGAAUAAAACAUUGACAUGCUCUCAAGUAUACUACUUGGACCACCUUAUAUAUAACAUUAUGUACAUAUUAUUUUCCAUAUCAAUUGCCAAAACUAAUAUUGCUUGACUACAUUUAUUCUAAGAUGACACAAUUUAGCAACAGCAGGAUAAAAAUAGGUGUCACCAUGGACCAUGGCAACUAAUAACAGAGGGGUAGGGAUAAAAACGCACCCUAAGUUUUGCCCAUACAGUUUGAAGCUGCAUAUCUUUGUCUCUGUCAAGAUGUGCUUGCAGUAUCGGAAUUAACAUAUUAAAUGGUAUAGAUGGCCCUUUCCUUGUAUCCUGGGCACCAGAUGGUGCUUGCUGACUGACAAUUUGCUUUGCAUUCUGCUGAACCACUGAGGGCUGAGCUACAUCAACUUUGGAACCUGCAACACUCUGCUGACCAAAAUACCCUGCUUCUUUCUCAGCUAACUGGAAGCUAUUUGUUUCAGCCUGUUGCAGUCGGCUUUCUGGCUGUGAUUGGUGUAGCUGUGGAUUCUGUUGCUCUACUUCGACAGGUUGUUCAUUUUUUGAACCUUCAGUUACCGGUUCUGGUUUGGAGAAUUGAUCUGUUGAAUUCACAUUCUGUUGCCCUGCUUGCUGACUUGCAUGGACGCUUACUUCCUGCUCUGUUGCUUGCAGCUGACCAUCUGUAGCUUCUGACAUAGCAAUGCUAUCCUGGCCCAAAGUAACUGGUGUAGAAUCGCAGAAUUUUAUUAUCACCGAAAACAGGUGGUAACAACACAUUAGUGAAAAGCUAUCAGUUGCACAAAUUUUUAUAAACAUGAAGCUACAAAUAAAACAAAAAUUCUGGUGUUGCUUUUGCUAAAAAAAUCCCCAUGCAGAAACAAGGAUAGAAAUUAUCUAGUAGCUCACCAACUAACUACAAGGAGCAACUAACAUUAGCAGCUCAAUGGGCUCAGCCAAACUCCAAUCAACAGCAGUAGCAGUACACUGAACAACUUUACUAGCAGUAGAAGCGGCCAUCGCAAAAGGUAGCAGUAAACCCACACCUCAAAGAUCCGGCGGCGCGGAGAGCGCCAGCCGACCAGCGAGGACGUGCGGUCCGGCGGCGAGGGGAGCAGAUUCCACGGUGCGGGGGCUCCGGCGGUGUGAGGACCCCCUCGAGAUGGCGUAGAGCGAGGCGCUACGCCAGCGAGACGGGGGCGGCUCCGGCGAGAUGAGGCGAAUCCGACGAGCUGGGGCCUCGCCGACGGGGUACCGGGGCGGAGUGGGACGGCGGACUGGGGGGUGUUGGGUGGCGCCGGCUGGUUCCGUCCUUGGGGAGGGGGUGCCGCUGUACUGUGGGGGGAGGGAGGCGAUGGCGGAGACGGCGGCGACGCGGCGUGUCGCGUCGCAACUCGCAAGCUGAGGUCAAGGCGGCGUCGUAAGCGAGUCUAUGGGAAACCGCUCCCGGCCCGUGCCCCGUGGGUUUCGGGCUUCCAAACGGGCCCCGAGUUUUUUUCUUUAAAAAAAAUCUUGGCUUGCACAGGGGCGCGCUGCGCUGGGCGGCGGGGACGGCGUGCGCAGCCGCGCGGGGCGUCGGCGAGCGCUGGUCCUGCGUGACAGACUGGGAGCUGUGGACUGUGGUUGGAGGGGGUUUGAUACUUAAACCUUAGUAGUGUCACGUCGGAUGUUCGAUGUUAAUAUCGGAUGUUCGAUGCUAAUUAGAAGGAUUAAAUAUGAACUAAUUAUAAAACUAAUUGCAGAACCCCCUAUGCUAUUUCGCGAGAUGAAUUUAUUAAGCCUAAUUAAUCCAUCAUUAGCAAAUGGUUACUGUAGCACUACAUUGUCAACUAAUUAGGCUUAAUAGAUUCGUCUCGCGAAUUAGACUCCAUUUGUGCAAUUAGUUUUGUAAUUAGCCUAUGUUUAGGGGGUGUUUGGGAACACCCUGUUAAAGUUUAACACCUGUCACAUCGGAUGUUUGGAUGCUAAUUAGGAGUAUUAAACAUAGUCUAAUUAUAAAACUAAUUGCACAGAUGGAGUAUAAUUCGCGAGACGAAUCUAUUAAGCCUAAUUAGUUCAUGAUUUGACAAUGUGGUGCUGCAGUAACCAUUUGCUAAUGAUGGAUUAAUUAGGCUUAAUAGAUUCGUCUCGCGAAUUAGCAUAGGGUUCUGCAAUUAGUUUUAUAAUUAGCUCAUGUUUAGUCCUCCUAAUUAGUAUCCGAACAUCCGAUGUGACACUGUUAAAGUUUAGCACCUCGUAUCCAAACACCCUCUUAAUACUCCUAAUUAGCAUCCAAACAUCUGAUGUGACAUGUGCUAAACUUUAGCAUGCACCCCCUAAAUUUUACCAAGAAAUUACUACCGUUGUCUGCUAGCAAAGUUUGGAUAACCUCUAAACUUUUCUUUUGUUUACUUAACCCUUUAUUUUCCUCAACCAGAUCACUAUUCACCUUUGACCCCACCCUAAUCUGGUUUUGCUAACUAGAUGGCUGUUUUGCUGCCACACGGGAUGUCCUACAUGGCAACAAGACUGCAGGCCCACAACGGCUCCACAGAAUCCACUCCGAGUCGCUAUCGAUGUGCUGUCGAUUGCUACAGCUUCUUCCUCGCCGUCCACCACCACCGAGUGCUGUAGCUCACUCGUCGCUAUCCCCCACCGUUGUCGUGUUGGGCUGUUGGGCGUCCACCACCGCUGCCAGAUGUCGGCUUGCCCCCAUCGACUCGCCCAUGGCAUCCGACAGGUCGUCGCCGCCGCCGCUGAGGAGCCGGACCAUGGAUUCAGCUGGCAGCAAGCUUCGUGCUUCAGGGGUGCAUCAUUACUGGGAGGUUGACCUAGUGGUGCUAGCAUUGGUGCACGAAGAAGGCCGGCCACCCCUGACAUUUAGAUAGCAGCAGCUUGUGGAAUAUCAUAUCACGACUGAAUGUCCAUUUGAAAAUGUUAUUUGAAGAAAAGUGAGAUUGUAAAGUGAAAAUUUUAUCAAUUUGAGACUUUGAUCAAUAUAAUUAUGUGAAGUGAGAAGAAUGAUUUGCUGUCAUUGAGAGAGGUCCCUAAGUUCAGAGUGUUUUCCACCAUAUGUUGUGUAUUUCAAAUCUCAGCACAACUAUGAGAAAUAGUGAAUUGAUGAAUAGUUACGAUUAUUUCUCAUGCUUGCAGGUGACUGAUAUGUGUGGCGUAAUGAAUGCAUAUCAUAGGUAUAAGAGAUGCAGUGGUACAUACAGAUCAUUGAAAAUUGAACAUAUAUUUCAGACUCAUAGUAGAUCUGUCAUAACUGAUCGACAUAGGUCACUAAUAUAUGGCAAAAUGACACGUAUCUGAACUGACAUACCAAACUUUUGACCAUCUAGUUACAUCCAACUUUUCACAUUAGAAAAGUGGAUAAACAACUAAAUCAUAUGUUGGGAGCUUUGAUUCAUGCAGAUUGUCUUGGCUUGGGUUGUGAAGGCACAACAGAUGCAUCACCUCGAAUCAAACGCCAGUGCUAGCACCACCAGGUUAGCCUCCCAUUGGCCAGGCUCCUAUACACAGCGACCUAUCGGAUGCCACAACAGCCCAACAUAACAGCGGCGGAGCACAGACGAGAGAGCCGCGGCAGUCGGAGGUGUGUGGUGGACGGCGAGGAAGAAGCUGCAGCAGUCGAUGGCGCAUCGGCAGCGACUCAAAGGAGAUUCUGUGGAGUAGUUGUGGGCCUGCAAUCUUGUUGCCACGUAGAACAUCCUGUGUGGCGUGAUUACUCAGCAAAACGGCCAUCUAGUCAGCAAAACCAGAUUAGGGUGAGGGUCAAAGGUGAAUAUUGAAAAUAAAGGGGUUAAGUAAACAAAAGCAAAUUUUAGGGGUUAUUCAAACUUUGCUCAUAGAUCGUGCAGUAAUUUGGACUUUCUCCGUGAAAUUAUCAGAAUUUCCUCGUGCGAUUUGGUUUUUUACAGUAGUUUAGGCGUGCUUGACCUUUUUUUAUACGGAUUAUUACGAUUUAAAUGUUAUCGUUACGUGAUUACGUUCGCCACAACUUAGACGAGUUGAAAAAUUAUAGAAUCCCGUAAAUCAGUCCUGGACUUGCAAUUCCGUAGGCGGUAGGAAGUUGGCGGCCAACGACGCUCGGUUCAAAGCUGCAACAACCUCCUCGGCCAUAUCGCCGCUGCUCGUAUAUCCCUUUCCUGCCCGUCUCUUCGUCCCGACCUCACCGCUGCUCGGUCUCAAGCGGCGGCGCGCCCUCAGCCCUCCUCCACUCCGGGCCGGCCACGCGGCCACGCCCCUCCUCCAUUCGGGGUCCUGCUCCAUCCAGGCUAACGAGACGACAGACGACCGCAUGGGGUGGAAGUGGAAAGCAGCAUGGUAGCUCCGCCCCUUGUCGUCCCGCUCACCGGCCGAGCCGAAGAGCACCACCACGCCUCAAGUUGAUAUCUCCAGUGCGCAAGGUGACAAAACCCCGUCUCGGUUUGUUAGUUUUUUUUAACACUGAUUAUUUGCUAAAUUGCUAGCUCCCUCCCUUCAUGCAGUCAUGCACUCAUUUGCUUUCAAUGAUGGCCACGAUUGUUGAGUCUAGAGAAAAAGAAAAGGGGGAUAGGGUGAUAUUUGAGUAUCUAAAGUUCUAAACAACAAAAUAUGGAAGAAUGGUGUAACUUCUGUAAACAUUCUUAGGCUUAGCAGAGCAUCUUUCUUCCGUUUUUGUAAGCUUUUCAGGAUGUGUAUGUGUGUUGAGCAACAUGUUGCUAUGUUCUUGAAUCAGGCAUGACCAUGAUACUGCUGGCGCGCAGCCUACGCUCCAGCCUCCGCCCGCCGCUUGCCGCCGGGUUCUCCUCGGCCCCGACUGCGGCAUCGUCGUCAGCGGCCGCGGCGGAGGCGGAGCGGUCGAUACGGGACGGGCCGCGGAACGACUGGAGCCGACCCGAGAUCCAGGCCGUCUACGACUCCCCGCUCCUCGACCUGCUCUUCCACGGGGUUCGUACCCCUGCCUGGGCUGGACACUCGCGUUAAUGCUCUCUGGUUGUGUUCGUGUUUGGUGCUGAACUGCUGAUUAAUGGUGAUGCCAGAAAUUUAGCGAAAGAUUCUACCUUUCAAGCUUAUAUAAGCGCUGAAGGCCGUAGAUUUGCUGCUAAGGUUGUACGUUUAGGAUCUUUGGGCUGUAAAGGUUGAAUUUGGAGCAUCAGAGGUGAAGCCUGCCUUCUCUCAGAUGCUCGCUAAAUGUCAUUUUUGUUGUUGCCUAGUGGAGAUUGCUACAUAGUUACAGCUCGGGGGUAAUGCCAAAAGGUUUCAUCUGGGGAGGAUUUCAUGUUCUCGUGGCAAUUAGCGAUAGCGAUUGACAUUUCAGCUAUGUGGGGCUUUGCGUUGAGGACAGUGGAUAUUUGUAUUUGCUUUAUCAGAUAUAUCUGAAGAUUAUACUUAUAGGCUAGCUGUGCUGGUGGAUGUUUUUCAGCAUUCACAUGCAUGUUCAGCCUUCAUUCGAUGGAUUUAUUAGAUUAAUAAUAUUGAUAUGACACCCAAUUUCUUUGUAUGGUGUCACUUUAGGCUUGCCUCUUAGCAGCGGAAAGACCUGAUUUAUUGACAGUAAUGUCAACAUUAUUGGGUUUAUUUUUUCCUUAGCAUCUGGAAUUUUUCACUCACAAUCUAUAAACACUGAAAUGCUACCACUGAUACAUAGUAUAAGUCGUAGCAUAGUAUGAUGGUUGCAUUUUGGAGCCUGUUGGUUAUUUAGAGUUUCCUUAAAUUGAUGAUGUCUUUUCAUCAUGUAAAAGUUUUGAGUUUAUUGCCCCUGCAAGAAAAGAUAUCAGAUGGUGCGUACUGCAGUAUCAUCUUAUAAAGAAAUUAUUACGUUUAUAUCGAAUUGGUGUCGUUAGCAAGUCUACAGAAACUGAGAUAUUUAUAGCAUCUGUAGUGUUGGUAGGAAGGUACUGCCCUCAAGGGCAUUUAAAAGGUAUAGUGUGGAAAUUCAUAUCAAGCAUUUUUUUAAGGUGUUCUUUGAUAGUUGGGAUUGCAGGUAAUGCAAAAUUUCACUUUUAGUAGGUUUUAUAUGGUGGGAAAUGUAUAUAGAAGUUUGUAGUUUAUACUGCUACAAAUUUCUAAAGUUUGAUGCUACCUGUAAGAAAGGCUAGUUCUUGUUAUAAAACAUGGAAUAAGGAUCAGGCUUCAGGCAUGGUGAUCCAUAGUUUGGCAAUUAUUGCAUGAUAGUCUGAUAAUAAACAAAUUUUGCGUGCCCAAUGCCCAAUUCAAUAUGUUUGGUCACAGUAACAUAUUCAUUUGGUGUAGAACGAUGACCUUCCUGGAUGUCUGGAUCCACCAUGGAUUGUAAGAAGUUAUUCCAUAGAUUGCUAGUCUGUAAAAAGAAUAGAUAUAUAAGAAAAUGAAACAAUUCAAAUGAUUUAUUAUUCUGCUGAUGAACACCAUAUUUUUACUGUAUCGGCUUACCUGUAAUGGAGCAUUUAGCUUUCAUGUGACCAUGUCACCAUGUCGUUUGUUCUUCUCAUUAUUGAACAAUUACUUUAUGUUUUCAGGCUCAGGUCCACAGAAAUGUUCACAAAUUCAGAGAAGUGCAGCAGUGCACGCUUCUUUCAAUAAAGACUGGUGGGUGCAGCGAAGAUUGUUCUUACUGUCCUCAGUCAUCAAGAUACAAUACUGGAUUGAAGGCCCAAAAAUUGAUGAACAAAGAUGAUGUCUUAGAAGCAGCAAAAAAGGUACUGUUAGAGUAAUAAUUGUCAGGGAGGUGAACAAGUUCACUUUGGUUGUUCCUGCAGCGUGGCAAUAUGACCUUGUAUUUUCCUCUUGACUGUAGACUUUAGUAUAUGACUCAUACUUUUGUGUUGGGUAAUAAUUGUUUCACUGUCCGCCACUCUUAUAUUGUUCCUUCUUCCAACCUAUUAUUGCACAGGCAAAAGAGGCUGGGAGCACCCGCUUUUGCAUGGGAGCUGCAUGGAGAGAAACUAUUGGCAGGAAAACAAAUUUCAACCAGAUUCUUGGAUAUGUCAAGGAAAUAAGGUAUUCACUGUAAUCUUUUAUUAUUACCAUAAACUGGUAUAUGGUGCAAGUUCUGCAUAACCGCGCACAAGUUCUCUUCUAGGUUGAUGUUCUGUUAAUAUGCCUUUAUUCGCCUAGUUUGUGACUUGUUUGGAACAAAUUAGCACUGUCUAUUAACUUAUGAUGUGCAGGUCAUUGACUUGAGGCCUUAAUGCACAGAACAUGAUGAACAAUGAAUCUUCUGUGCAUUAUUAUUGUUAUUUAUUUUAACAUUUUAGCAUGCAUUGGAUAAUUAACUUUGCAGGGGUAUGGGCAUGGAAGUCUGUUGCACACUAGGCAUGAUAGAGAAACAGCAAGCUGAAGAGCUCAAGAAGGCUGGACUUACAGCAUAUAAUCAUAACCUAGACACAUCAAGAGAGUACUAUCCCAACAUUAUUACCACAAGAUCGUAUGAUGAUAGGCUGCAGACUCUUCAGCAUGUCCGCGAAGCUGGAAUAAGCAUCUGCUCAGGUGAUUAUCUGAAGUCACUGGUGAGGUGUUUCUAGCUUUCGUCAUGUGAGCGCUGUCCUGAAAAUAAGUGUUCCUCUUCUAGCUUACAGAAACCUGGGAUAUAUAUGUCUUCCACUUAAAAUUUGGGGCCCCAUUCUCUUGUUCAGGUGGAAUAAUUGGUCUUGGCGAAGCAGAGGAGGACCGUGUAGGGUUGUUGCACACACUGGCCACCUUGCCUACACACCCAGAGAGCGUUCCUAUUAAUGCAUUGGUUGCUGUAAAAGGCACGCCUCUUGAGGAUCAGAAGGUAUUCUGGACCGUUCAUUUUUUAUUUUAUAUGCUUGUAGCAGGUGUAUGAGCCUAUGUUUCGGGAAGAAAAAUGCAUGUAGCUCUAUAACUACAACACAAUGUCAACUGCAGUGUGCAGUAUAGCCAGGUUUAAGAUUAUACACGCUGAAAUUUUUUGGUGCUAACCGACGUUCUACAUCAGCCUGUAGAGAUCUGGGAAAUGAUCCGCAUGGUCGCCACUGCUCGGAUUGUGAUGCCAAAGGCAAUGGUGAGGCUCUCAGCAGGCCGCGUAAGGUUCUCCAUGCCAGAGCAAGCGCUCUGCUUCCUUGCUGGGGCCAACUCCAUCUUCGCCGGCGAGAAGCUCCUCACAACCGCAAACAACGACUUUGAUGCUGACAAGGCGAUGUUCAAAAUCCUCGGCCUGAUUCCCAAGGCUCCAAGCUUCAGCGACGAAGAGGCGGCGGCUCCUGAUUCCGACACUGAGAGGCCCGAGCAAGCCGCUUCUAUGUAAAACAUCAUUACAGAUUUUAUGUAUCUCAGUUAGUGCAAAACUAGCACUGCUGUUGUAGCUAGAGCAUUAUAUUGUAGAAACCACUACAUUGUCUAGACGCUUGAGAGUUGAGACUGAUCAGAAUUCAAAAAUAAAAUAGGGGAUGCCAAUAUGUGAUGUAUUUCAGUUAGUAGCUUCAAUAACUGAUCUCUCUCGAUGCAGCACCAUUGAGCAUCAGCCAUCUGACGGCAUCUGGGACUGGUUUCUUGCAUCGCCAGGAUUGUGUUCGUGCUUGUACUAUAGCAUGACCACAGGCUGACUCUGGUGUGUGGUGUCGAUUGUCAAAAACUCAAAAUCAUGUACGUUGGAGCCGUGCUGCGCAUGGCAUGCUGUGGUCCAUACUAUUGAAACCCGGGACUCCAGAUCGGUAGUCCAGAAAACUUUAGAACUGGGGAAAACAUACUGGAACUGAAACCCGGGAUGCGUCGUGCACUGGCAGUUUGUCCAAGAGUGAAGGCAGUGAUUCGUGAAUAUCUCGGGAGUGAAAGCCAGGCAGCCAGCUAAAGAUGACAGCUAGUAGCCCUGUUUAUGAACUGAUGGCUCGAAGUGUAUAAAUGAGGUUGGGAAACAGCAACUGAAGGAAUCGGGAAACAGCAACUAAACGGAAUUGGGAAACAACCAAAGAACGAACAUUUACAAGUAGGCCAAUUGCGUUUUUAGUUUAUUACCCAUGUUUUGAAGUGCAGCUUAUAAUUUACCCUCAUUUCAACUUUUGUGAUUUUACCCCUUUUAAUUGUUUUUUUCCUUCUUCUUUCGAGUAACCUAAAUUGGUACUGUAAAUUCCGUCAGUUGCAACUCAAUUAAAUGAAUUAAAAACUGAUCGAAAGGUGGAAGAAGGAUUAAACUGCCUUCCCCUUUACCUUUCACCCUUCUGCUCAACUUCUCUACCUCUUAUCAACAUGUGGAAGAAAGAUUAAACCACCAUCCCUUUCACCUUUCACCUCGUGAAGAAGCACAACAAUGUGAAAGAGCGCAUACAGCAAACGUGGAGUACAAGUACUGAAACUCAGCAAGUGCCGUGCUCUAGCAGUUUGUUCGUCAGACUGAAGACAGUGAUUAACACUGGGAGUGAAAGCACGGUUAAAGAUGACAGGUAAGUAGCCAAGUUAAUGAUACUGACACGACUCAGAGUAUAAUAAUAUGUUGGGAAACAGCAACUAGGGAAAUGAACAAUUACAAGUAUAGUCCACAAAAAGCGAAGCCUUUUGCAAAGGUCUGCUGCUCAGUCUAUGAAACUGAAUCAACUACACUAGAAGUAUCUUUUAGGCUGGGGAAGUAAUAUCCAUGACACGAUAGCUAAUGGAUCAAUCGAGGAAUAUACAGUUGAAGAACAAAUUAAAAAAAAAUUGGCCAGAAUACAAGUUCAUAUGGGGGACCUGGGCUCCCUUAAAGGUCAAGUUUUUUACCUGGCUGGCAGUUCGGGAUCGGCUCUGGACGGCAGAACGGCGCAAGCGGCAUGGUCUGCAAAACUCAGAUGGGUGUGCCUUGUGUGGCCAGAUGUCUGAAUCUACCACUCAUCUAUUUGUGCAGUGCAGCUAUACCCAACAGACUCGAGCUCGGUUAGACCUGCAACUCAACCUUCCAGUAAUACAGCCGACAAGUCAUACAUCCUUGCUUGAAUGGUGGUCACAGAAACGGAGCAGGCUGCCACGACAAAGGGUCAAGGGACUUGAUUCCACCGUUAUGCUGUGCUCAUGGGUGGUAUGGAAAGAGCGAAACAGCAGGACCUUUGACACGGCCCAGGAGAAAUCACCACAGGAACUGCUCAUUGCCAUACACGAAGAAGCAGCAAAUUGGCUGGCUGCAGGCGCCAGAUGCUUGGCGACGGCUGGCUGGACCUUCGGCUCAGCCGCAGAUGGCGUCUAGAUUCUAGGAAACGAUUUAGAACGGUUAGACCGCCUGACAAAUAUUGGAAGUGGAGGUUUCCUAAUGUAAUCGUAUACUUUUAAAACCCAUGUGCGUGAGCCCGGUUAUGGCCCGCGUUGUAAGCAAAUACUAUUCCUUUUCCUCUUAAUUGAAUGAUACGCAGCUCUCCUGCGUAUUCUAGAAAAAAAAAAGCACAUGAAUGAGCAUUCAGAACUCAAAAGAUAGGUGCUCUCAACAAAAACACCCAGAACAUGGCAGCAAAACUAUGGGAACUUAUGAUUGGUAAAUAUACCCCAAGAAAAAGGUGCUGCUAGAUUGUAAUUUGGCAUUAAGCAAUAAAAGGAGGCACGCUAUGAUACAGAAUUACUCACAGAGAAACAAAGGAUGAACAGUUUUCAAUUAACAAGACAAAAGGAGAGAAAUAACAAAAAGAAUGAGGCUUUCCUUAAGCUGGUACGGGACAAAAUAUGAAAUAUGACCAGUACAACCUAGUCAUGAAGAUCGGACCGUCAUAACUGAUCGAUAUGGUACAAAGGAUGUCACAGGAGAUAUAAAGGGGAUCACUUGAACACAGAUUUCUAAAGUUUGGUAGUCCUAAUCAUAAUCUAUAUAAAGUGAAUAAAUCUAUUGUGUAAUAAAAGGAAACCAACAGCGGCACAUGUAUACAUUUGAAACUGCCAGCUAUUGAGGCGUGAAUGGAUAAAUGAAAGUUUGCCAGAACUCUUGAAGUAAAAACAUAUUCUACUCAUGUAAACCCUCUAGAUAUAUACUACAUGAAUUCAUGGAAAAUUGUUCAGCUUGUGAGCAAUGAAUCUGACAUAUGUAAAUGUUUCUUUUGUGGUACUAGACAUUUAGUAUUAAUUUCAGUUCGGAAAAUGAUCAUUCAGUUUCCACUAAAACAGCAUGAACCAGUUGACAGCCUCAUUUCAUAGAAUUUAUAUUGAAACUUCAUGAAGCAUAUUGGAUUGCCAAUUUAAGAGCCCUGGGAUAACACAUACUCUACUGCACUCACAGUAGGAAUGUAAAGAAGCUGAAAGAAUUUUGCAAUCUCAACUAUAGUACUUCACCUCAACACCGAGGAAAGAGUGGUAGUCAAACAGCGAUCAAGGAGCUAAACCUUCACCUCAAGAAGACACUGAAUCAACAGCAAGAAACAUUUGAAAUGAGACGAAUAAUUAGGAACUAAACAGAGAAGAAUCAAAGGAACUUACUGUCCAACAAUUUUAUAGGCUAAGAUCCACCAAAAGCGUAACCGCUAUGGAUGCAUUAAUCCAGAGUCCCAUGAAAGAUAAGAGAAUGAACAAGUAAACGGCAUAUAUUUCUGUCUGAAAUCCCCACUGGUUCAUAAUACAAGGUGUAUGUGAUGUCUAUAGUCUAUCUGUGAUAUAACUGUUGUAUCAUCCAUUUAUUUGCUCUCCCUAUGCUUAUUACUGAAAUUAUAUAUUUUUCUAGCUACAUAUCAGGAAGGAACAGCAUGGACUAAUACGACCAUCCGAUCCCUCUCCCCUUAUCCCCCUUUCACUUCUUGAUCCGGCGGACCUUCUUGGCGCCCCAGACCUCCAUCCGGCCCUUGGGGCAUCCGCAGGGCGCGCGGAAGAUGAGCACGGUGCGGCCGUUGGGCGGCGCCAUCUUGCGGAGCUCGGCCUCCAGCUCCCGCUGCUCGUCCCCGAGCUCGACGGGGCGCGCCCCGGCCGCCGCGAGCAGCGCCGAUCGCGCCGCGGGGCCGGGGCGGCCGCGCACGCACUCCUCCGUCUCGAGCUGGAUGUCGAACUCGACGGCCUUCUUGAGGCCCCUGCACCUGGGCUUGCCGCACUUGCGCGCGUGGUGGCCCAGCAGCUCCCAGGCGACGACGGCGGCCGCCACGGCGAGCGCGGCCCCGAAGAAGGCGGCGGCCGAGAGACAGGACGCGGCGGGGUGGAGCAGCGCGCCCGCCUCGGCGAGCAGCAGCUUGAGGUACGGGGCCACGAGGAAGCCGAGCGCGGCGACGACGGCCAGGAGCAUGACCGCGUCGACCACGGCCAUCGGGGUGCUGUCGCAGAAGGCGCCGGCGGCGGCGGCGGCGCGGGCCGAGGAAGCCCGCCUGGAUCGGGAGCACGCGGAGGCCGAGGCCGAGCCGUCCGCCGCCUUGCGGUGGUGCUCGAACGCGCGGAGGAACUCGAUGAGGCUGCGGCACUCCGCCAUCGCGGCGUCGGGAGCUGCUCCGCCUCCGCAGCCGGGCCGACGGGCAGGCAAUUCGCCACCAAUUUCUGGUGCGGGUUCGGAAGGGGGGAAGGGGAAGGAAGCGCGAGCGCGAGCGCUGUGUGGUGGGGGCGCCGGGAUCUGUGGGCAACUCUGGUAGGGGGAUUUGCCGAUCGGAUCGGUGGGGUUGGGUUGGGUGGGGGGAAGGAAUGGGACGGGGACUCGGCGGGCACCGCGUGCGGGGGAGGGUGUUUGGCUGGGUCGGUGCCUCGUUCCGUGGCGUACGUCGCGUACUGCGCGGGGGGCGGCACGGCCGCCCCGCAGGCCGCAGGGCACCCGUGACGUGACGUCGUCUAGGCCGUGGAGGGAAGGGAGCGCGUCCCCGCGGACGGGCAGGGAGCAGUGGGGCGGCGGUGGGUGAGGAGGUCACGUCCGACUGACGUGUGGGGGUGGAGAGACAGCGGCGACUGGAAGGAAGGCAGCCGCCGACGAUAGCACAGGGCGGACGGCGGCACCCACAGCUGACGCGACGCGUAGCCGCAAGGAUGGGAUGGGUGACCGCGCUGUGGAGAUGUCAACGCCGCCGCCGCACGUCAAGCGACCGGACGCGUCACGGCUCCCGUGGGGUGGUGCCGCUGGCGGCUGCCGCUAUCGUUCGGCUCCGUUCGUACUCGUACUCCGCCCCAGCACAGCACCGGGUUUUUCUUUUUUCCUUGUCCUGCGCCACCGGUUACAGAAAAAGGAGUCGUAUCGUAGGCUCGUAGCGCACGUCACUGGCAGGAGGAAUUUGAGCCACGAAGAAUGGCUCAGCGACUUUCGGCUCGAGCUCGACCCUUCCUUCUUUUUUCUCCCUCCGGUGUGGUGUCGUCCUGCUGUGGUAUCUUCCUUUUGCAUCUUUCGAUGAAUCCUUUCCGGGUCGCUUUGGCGCAUCCUGGUUUGAGGGAGUCGUCUCCCGUAGUCCCACCCCAUCUGACAAGCGAUUUGCCGGCUAGACGACGUCGAUGCAAAUGCAGAUGCUAGUUUGAGGCAUUAUCUUUGUUGACACUCCACGAUCAUGUGCAGCUGUGGUCGAAAAUGAGGAAAUGGAAGACACCAAACGCACCUUUCCUAUCUCUCCGCUGAAACGGGAAAGAACUCAGCUGGGUUUUCUUCCACGCUUGGUCAAAUGACAGCGUCAUGGUGCUGCGCAUUGCGGGAGGAUAAGGUAGCUCUUGAUGCCGGUGAAAAUCAACGGACGCGUGAUCCGGCACGGUCAAGCAAAUUGAUUAGCGGAGGCACGCACGACCUCAUGACCGGAGAAAAAAAAUUCCGCGGUUUCACAUGGGAUCCAAAACGCCUGCCUUUGAUUCAGUGACCGACUGAAUUAAGUAUUGUGUCCCCAUCCUCGACCGUGCUCGUACGCUCAAGACAAACGAAAAACCGCUGAAAAAUAGUACAAUUUGGCGUUUGGGUCCCAUUAAAAAUGAUUGUUUUCAUCAAAAAAAAAAGCUGUGAUCCCUUUGAUUGUCACUUGGGGAUGUCAUGAUCGAAUAAUCCAUGGGCAAACAACGAUCCUGUGCCACAUCUCGGAUCUUCGCUGAUCACGCGGGGCGUGCGUGCGUGGUGCAAUCAUGUGUGGAGGAUCCAGAUGGAGUUGGAGCUUUGGGAGACGUGGUCUCUGAACUUGGAACCUACCGUUUGUAUAUUCUUCCGAGUAGGGUUCUGUGUACUUCUGUGAUGGACUUGGUAAUAAUGAAACCGACGUACUCCUCCUGAGGAAUGAGUCGGAAAGGGUGAAUAGAUUAGCAAUAACCAGCCGUCAAGCUUGUUAGGGAGAGUUGAAGGAACCUACAUGGGCUAUCGCCUCAGACUGAGAGUCUGAGAGUGACAAAAAGAAAGGAAAAAAAAAGAGGAGAAGAUCAAGAAAACUUGUCUAUCACAAAAGUAAACUUUGGUUGACACGUUACAGUGACGCAUUGCAAAGGUAUCUUGAAGGCAUGAACCAGGCGAAAGACGAACGAAGAAAGAAAGCGACCGGGGAAGCACAUAUUCUAAUUGUUCUCUAAUUGUUCGCGUGACCAUUUUUAUUUAUCUCUGCUGCUGAACAAUGGGUCUAAAAAAGAUAAGACCGCUAACUACUUCAUUGUUACAGACCACACAAACACGUUCACGUCAGUGUAAGAUCACAACUGCUCCGGCCCGUCUCCCUCGCCACCGACUACAUGUUCCAACCGCCACAAUGCUCCAACCAGAGAAAACACAUGGGCUACCAUGUCUACCAAGCAGACGAAACAACACAGAAGAUCGAGGAGGCCAGUGGCGGAACUGAGAGGGGCUGUCAUUGCAACCUAUCUAGGGAGUGCUCGAGGUAGUGUUUUGAUUAGUGGCGCUCGUCGAGAUCAGGAAUACACGAUUUAGACAGGUUCGGACCGCUGAAUAGCGUAGUAUCCUACGUCUUGUGCUGGUUGGAUUGAAUUGCUUUGGAGAGGGUUAUUACCUCACCUUACAUUGCCGAGGGUAGGGUUACAAGUCAGUUGGUUUACAAAAAUAUUAGUCGGAUUCGACUAGAGGAGUUCUACUCAUAUUAUUAUGAGUAUUUUUUCUAAUCCUCGACUAGUUCCUAUCUUUCUACGUAGACUACGUCGUCCGGCGUCAUAAUCUCCACGUCAGAUUCGUCUCGGUGUCCAGCCUCAUAUUUAGGACUGUCCAAACCUUCUAGUGGGCUCAUAGAUGGAUGUACGACAUGAGGCGGCAGGACCAUGACCUUCCCUAACAAAGAAAAAAGAUUUCUAGUACCCUUAUCAAUUGUCAGCUUAUAGACCAUAUCAGCACUUAGCAGGCUAAAACGUCAAGGGCCAAGCCCAAUUAGCAUUCUACUGUUACCCAGUGUCCAACAACGCACGCAUGCACACAGGUGAUCGGGCGCAUGUUCACGUACCUAAUCACGUGACCUUUCCUUCCAAUAUCGCUACGUUCCGACAUCGCCAAAACCGCGCCCGAGGCCCCGUCGCCCGCCGCCUGUAGUCUGCGAACUGUCGGAAUCUUGCACUACCAGUGCGCCAUCGACGACGGGCAAGCCGGUGGCCAUUGUGGCGUGGCUGCAAUGGAGGGCAACAUCACGGCUGACCCUCCUGCUUGCUUCUGAUAUUUCUCCUCCAACUCAAAUUAAUGUAAGCAAGUCUUAUUUCCAUAUCGGUAUAUCCCAUAAAUUAUUUUAAAUUUUAUUUCUUAUCUCUUAAUAUCAUAGGUUUUUUUUAUGAAAUUAGGCUAAAACCUCGUUCUUACUCUACCUAUUGUAUGCUUGUACGGACAACGAAAAUUAGGAUAACUUGUCAAAAUUCUUGAACCGAUAAAUAUUUUUCUAAUCCCCUUUAAUUUUCCCUCCAGUUCCACCGCUGGAGGAGGCACUACGACGUAGCCGUCAGAGCCCUCCGUCCCUGCGCGGCCGAUCUUGACUUCCAAACACACCACCGAUUGUGAUGGAUGGCGGAUGGCUACGCGCCUACUCCGUGGCGAAUCAAACCGGGGAAAUUCCUCUUUGAUCCGAUCCGUGAUCAGCUGCGAGGGUUUCAGUACCGUGGGCUUCCGUUUCCAUGACUAUAUGUCCUGGGCAUGUGAGCUCACAUGGGUGGACAAACAAAUGGGGGUUCAAGGUGUUGAUGAUGGCAGGUCCAAGGAAUUAAGUUUCUUGCUUCACUUUGCUGGCUUUGACACCUGUGACGUGAGACCCCGUUCCGGGCACGCCAGCCGCGGGAGCCUUCACCUUCACGUGGUUCUUCAGCAGUCUGUGACUGUUGGCUGCUAAGGAUUUCUUUUUUCCCCCCUUUCUUGUUCUGGUGCUGUGCGCAGGGAGAUUUGGUCAGGCCCGUCGCCAGGACCAGUUCGUCGUGGCCAGCCGGAACGUGCCGGCACGGUCGGUCAGAGGAGAAAUGGGGGUACAAAAGGACCGGGCACUGCCUAGUGCCGAGCGUAGCAGUCAAUGGGUGGGAAAUUUUGACUGAGUUGAGGUCGGCCAGUGCAGCCAGUUGCCCUGAAGUCUCGGCGUAAGAUGGUGGGGAUAAAGACGUCCACUUGACGGGGUUUGAAAAGUGCAGUUACAUUUCCUGAGAAGAAAGAGGUGAUUUUGCAGUAGUUUCCUUGUCAACUGGGCUAACCCAGAUGUGAACUGGGCUGCAUGAUUUGUGCUGGGCCGAAUACGGACAGUUUUGGGCUUGCUGCAUACAAAAUCCCCUUCCAUGGAACCGAGUGAGAUUAGUUUGCUCAAAGUUUGCGAAUUAGUUUGCUCAAAGUUCAAAUCCACACAGUCGGCUAGGUAUGCAUAUUAGCAUUCUGCUUUGCUAAAAAAAGUAUAAUUCACACCUCCAAUGACGUAAAAAUCAGCAAACGGAAAAAAAAAUGUCAGGCCUGAACUGACAAGUAAUGAGAUAAGUAAGUUUUGCAUCCCGUAGCUGGUUUGCCGGGCCCAAAUAGACAAGGACUCGUCGGCUUGUUUUUUCAUGCAUCAGGAACACGCACUGGGCCGGGUGGACCCGGCCCUGCAACUCGCGAACAGUGAAACUUUAGACACCGAAUCAUCAUCGCCACAAUCUCUCCCGCAUUGCUCAACUGUGACGUCGUGCGUUGGCGAUCAAGAUGUCACGCGACGAGGCGAAUGAAUCAGCGCGUUGCAAGCAGAAGAGGGUCCUUGGUCGACAAGGGCUUUGUUUGGCCGAGAUCCUGUUUCAGCAGUUCUAAAUAGACCACCUGAAAAUGACUGAAACUUAACUUGGCAAGAUGAAUAAUAGCAGCAGUGUACGUGUACAACACACACAUCAAACGACGAGAAUGGUAUGUGCUGUUGCUGUAACCCGAUUCCACGUGGCAAGGAAGAGAAAGCUGUCGCAAGCGUCCACAAUCGCACCCAACUAUGCCCUUGUUUACUUCCCUCCAAACUCCCAACUUUGACACUAUGAAAAUGAAGAUUCCCCAUCACAUCAAACUUGCGGUAUAUGCAUGGAGUACUAAAUGUAGACGAAAUCAAAAACUAAUUGCACAGUUUUGUUGUACUUUGCGAGACGAAUCUUUUGAGCCUAAUUAGUCAAUAUUUGGACAAUAAUUCACAAAUAUAAACGAAACACUACAGUGUCGCAUUUAUGGCAAAAUGCCAAUUUUGCAACUCCCAACUUGGGAAGUAAACAAGGGCUAUGCAUCUAAUCAUUUCUAGGGCAAGUUCAUUAAUUGUGUAGCGAUCUAGUGUUUCUUUUCUUUUCUUUUCCUAACCUUUUCGAGCCCCGGGAAGUGGAGCGCGGCGGACCACGGUUUUGGUGCAACUACAGGAGCGAAAGCGAGUGUAAUCGCGACAGAUUUUUUCCUUUAAUUUGCCCCGGUCCGUACACGAUGCUUGUGAUGGCAAGAUAACGAGAGCUCAACCAAAGCCAUCGUUAGCCGCCAAACGGCAAAUGUUUUUAUCUGCUCCUGGCUGGCGGAAAGGCAGCAACCAACAAAAAGGGUGCUGUGCUCUGAGCCUCUGAUAGCCUGUCUCGUCAGUCCCAGCUGGAAGAUUAGCAGUAGAAGUUACGCAAAUCGCUCUACAUUUCCUCAUAGAAGCGACUAGAUUGUUACGGAGGAGCAGGGCGAUUAACGAUGCUGAUGAUCUACUGCUAAUCUUCAAUUGCAUCUAUUGCUGAAAACUCUAUUCUUGGAGGCAGCGGGGCUACAAAAGUCAAAGCACGAAUAGUUAAAGAGACGACAAGAGUUGCACAGUAGUGGUAUAAAAGGUAUACCCCGACCCACCCGACCGAUCAUGUGAUUUCUCCUGCGCCAAUCGAAGGAACUGAACGGAUCUUGCUGACAUUUCCGUCGACAGCUUCUCGUCGCCCCAAGAGGGAAUAUGUUUUGCAUACUUCGUUUGUGGUCGGCAACUACUCGCUCCAGCCCGUGAUCCGUGGUCCGUGCGUCCAUUUCUAGCACUUGAUAAUGAGCAAACUGUAGUAGUGUUCCAUUGAUUUAGACAUCAUUUGGUAGGGCUCCAAGCCUCCAGCUCCUCCGGUUCUUGGGAACCAAUGUAACCAAAAGAAUUUGGUUUUAGCAGCUUUUUAGUUCAUUUGAGCGUCGGCUCCUGUUCAUCUCAGGCAUGGAUGGAAGUUAUAAUCCUGGCCUGUGAACUAGAGCGUUUCAUUCAUGCAAAACCGAGGCCCUGAUGUAUGGCCAAACCAAGUUUGAUGACAGCAGAUUUUGCUGAGUAAGAACAUCUCCAACAGACUACUUAUUUUUGGCUCUCUAUUUAACUCUCUAUCUAGGUUAGUAAAAAGAUUCAUCUCUAGAUUGAGUUGCUUAUUCCAACAGACUAACAAUUUUCCGCUCUCCAAAUCCUAAUAGCUAAUUUUCUCUUUAAAAAUCCGCACUCGUCAUCCACUCCAACAGCCUCUCUAUUUUGUACUACAACAGUCUUUUCAUUUUCCACUUUCCAUUCAGACAAUUACUGCACUAUAGUAAGGUGACUUGCUAAGUUAAGUAUGAUUGGAAGUUUAGCAAGUCGGAUAGGAUGGAGACUCCGUCGGAGUUUCUCGCUUCUCGACCACUAAGCACCAUCCUUCGCUCGUGAGGUCAAAAAUUGAAAAUGGCGUUCUGCCAUCGUACAGUGAUGUUGGUGGCCCCAGAGGGGGCUGAUGAGUUUUCUUCAGCGUCAAUGAUAACACGGCCAAAAACGCACUGUAGCAGAUGGCGAGGUCGUCAACUUCUGCAGUCAUGCAACAGUAACACGCAGAUGACGACAGUGCUAUAGUGCACAGAUCAGAGAUCGCUGCUGGACUAAAAGCCAACCUCAGUAGCCAGUAGACGUGCUGUAUGUACGUUGACAUCGAGUAGCGCGCUAAAACAAACAUGUACAAUGCCAAACAGAGUCACAAACGACACUGACAUACUUGAGCUUACAUGAAGACAUACACACACGCGCGUAGAAAGACUUGAAAACUUCUUUCUCUCCCGUCGAUCGAGAGGUGCAGCCAGCUACACCGGUUCUAGCCACUACUUGAUCGACCUGACAGUGGGUGGCGACGACCCGGCCCUAACACGCUAGCUCAGGCUCGAUCGAUCGCCACCGACGAGACGGACGACAAGACUCGUUAACC
rnacentral:lncRNA from 1 species